rnacentral:lncRNA from 1 species
ACCCGAACCAAGACAUCCGGGUCCGGCUACUCGCCUUUGAACGACCCAUCUCCUAACUGUAGUAGCCCACGACCAUCGGUUCUCCUAGAUGACAGUUCUUAUGAGCAUUGGCUUAUCAUUUUGGAAUUCCCAGAACGCCCGAAACCUUUGGAAGAAGAAAUGAUCGAUGCCUAUGUUAAAACCCUCGCUUCUGUUGUCGGCAGGUUUUUAAAUUAUAAUUAUUCCUUCAAAUUUCAUUAAAUCUGGGUUUUAUUUUCUUUUUUGUUUGUCUGAUCUUGUAGUGAAGAGGAAGCGAAAAAGAGAAUAUACUCUGUUUGUACAACGAGGUAUACUGGGUUUCGUGCUUUUUUCUCUGAGCAUUUGGUCGAAAAACUUGGAGGUAAUAUCAUUUCCCAUUUACUAGGGUUUAGGGUUUACAUGAUUUUCCCUUUUUCUAGUGUAAUUGGAACAAGAAACGGGUUUCUUGAAACAGUGGGCUUUCAGAAAGAAGAAAGAAUUAACAUUGGUUUUCAUUGUGUGUGAUGUGUUGCUAGCUGUUUUAGGGUUUUAAACCUCCCGAUGUGAUUGCUUUCUAUAUUAAUUUAUUAGGGUUUAAACGGUUUUCCCCAAUUGCUUUUGUGAGUGUUUUUGAACUUACAAUUGAUGAGGCAUCCACUUUGUUCUAAAAUCAAUUGGCAUUAUGUUUCUACAGUGUUACCUCGUGUACGCUGGGUUUUACCAGUUCGGUAUUGUAGCCGAGAUCAUUAUUAUGCAGGUGGGUAGUUUAAAGAUGAAGUUUGCUGCUUACAGCCAUUGAAGUUCUCAUUGUCAACAAAUUUAAUCUCUUUUUUAUUGGUGGAUUGAUUGCCAGGGGAUCUGUUUGUUGAUGGUAAAGUCUUUCAUAGACCGCAAUUUCCAUGGGUUGGUGUUCCAAAUAGCAGCCACAGAGUUGGAGGAUGUGGUGAUCAUGAGCUUUGGCUUAUCACUUUUGAAUUCCGGGAAGAACCUUCCUUAGAAGAAAAGAUUGAUUUCUAUGUCAAAACCCUCGCUUCUGUUGUCGGCAGGUUUUUGAUUCCGUCAAUUUUGCGUUUUCUUUCCUGGAAUUUGAGAAAUGGGUUUUAUUUUUCUUUUUCUUUUUUGCUUGUAGUGAAGAGGAAGCGAAAAGGAGAAUAUACGCCGUAGGUGGUAGACUAACGAGGUAUACAGGGUUUCGUGCUGUUAUGUCUGAGGAGAUGGCUUUUGAACUUGAAAGUAAUUGCAUUUCUCAUUUGUUAGGGUUUACAUGGUGUUCUCAUUUAUUAGGGUUCAGUGUUUAGAAUUGGCGUUUUGUUUGUAUAGGGUUUCCUCUUGUAGAAGGCGUUUAUCGGGAUUCACAGGACGAAUAUAUCGAAGAUUUUGAUGGAGGUGGGUAGUUUAAAGAAUUCAAGAUGAUGUUUGUUGCUUAUUGCCAUUGUCAACAAAUUUAAUCUCCCUGUUCUUAUUAGGGCAUUUGCUUGUUGAUGGGAAAGUCGUUCUUAGACCAACCUCUUUUAGCAAGAAGAGGUGCCUGACGCGAUCAGUUCGUUUGGUGGUGAACCAAGUAUUAAACGAUAUUUAUAUUCGUAAAAUGGAUGAAACCGAAACCGAGGGCUAGGACCAGAUCUUUUCUGAUUUGGUGGAUUCAUAGAUCUCUUUAUUUAUUUUUUAAUUUAUGUGUUCAAGAGUCAUAAUUAUUUGAAUUAUUAAUUCCUGUAAUCUCCAUUCUUAAUGAAUACUUGUUGUUAUUAUUUAAAAUAUAUAAUUUUGAUUAUUUAUAAAUUUAUUCUAAUAUCUUUAAUCAUCAUCUCAUUGUAAUCUAAAUUAUUGGCAAUUUAUGUUUUAACUUCUGAAUUAUUCCCGCCGGACCAGUGAACAGGCCUUACUACUAGAAUAAGCAACCCGUUGUCCUUAACAUUAAUUUCCGCAGAGUUGCACAAAAUUUUGGAGAUUAUUUUUGUACCACUGAUAGCAUGCUUAACUAAUAGCAAUAAUUUAUUCAGCUGCGGCUUCAACAUGCACUUCCAUAUACAUAGAUCAAGUUAUAGGUUUUUAGUUAUCUCACGCAAUCGAUGUUCAAAGCUAAAUGAGAACACAGCAAAGAUGAUUUCAUGGAAUAUUUAGCAUAAUUGAUCCAGUUGUUCUGCGAUUCUCGAAGUCUGCAUUUGACAAAGGGUACUUGUGAAUUAAUAUUCGAAAUGUUACUGAAUUAAUAUUUAUCGACUAUACAAAGAGGACGGAGGCCUUAUGAAGUUAUGGUUGAUUCUUCAAAGGGUUAACUCUAAAAGAGGGUCCACAUGCAAGUGGACUGCAGGAGCAGCCCGACAGAUUCCGGAUUGGUUGUUCGAAGAAAAACCCUCGAAACUCCAAUUCUGUGCUUGAGAGUAACUGAUGAAAUGAGAACCCUGGGUUCAUCUGUUAGUUCAUUCUUUGGUGUGAAUAGAAAAGAUAUCAUUCUUUUAAAAAAACCAAAUCCCCUAUACACAUUUAAAAAAAAAAUACCAUCUUGUACCAUACUCUUGUACAAAAUUGGCUUAACUAUAUGAAUACAAUUGGUCAGGCAUUGGAAUGCAACAUUAUGGUACAUGUAAAAGGAACUCAUAAAGAGAACUUUGGGUUGCUUUUCGAUAUGCUAUAUAAAUUAUGUACAGUGUGAGAGCUUACGAUAGCCUUUGCAAAGGAACAUUGUGAUAUGUCUAUAACGGAUAAAGGAGCAACAACAAAAGCUCCACCAUCAGUUCAAAUGGUUGUGGAAGCAUUAGCCGGAGAUUUAGAAUGGUGAGACACGAAUGAUUCUACAAGUGGAUUCACAAGAUGUGGAGCUUCAUCCUAGUAACACAGCAAUGAACUAUCAUAUUUGUUAACAGAAAAACCUGCCGAACCAUAGUUUCAUGAGAGAGCAAACCUGAGGGCAGUGGCCAACAUUGGGGAGGACAACAAAGUCUUCUACAGUAUCAAAAUCCACGUAGGCUCUUCCGAGUUCGAUGCUUUCCCAUGGAUCCUUGUCACCCCAUGCUAUCAAGGUGUAGGCGAUGAGAACAUAAAAGAACAUACUACAAUAAUUUCAACAACUCAAUGACUUAAAAAAAAACCUUUUGAAUAAUUAAAUAAUAUUUUGUAACUUUUUAAAGUUUAUGUUUCAGUCACUAUGAUGGUAAGUUUUUUCUUUUUUAAAGUUGGCUAAUGAGCUUCAAAGAGUGAUUUAACGAUCAGUACAGUUGAUCAGUACCCAUUAACUAGUAGAAAAAUAUACUUUAGAUCCAAGUUGAUAUGAUGGCUAAUAUUAGAGAUUGGAAAAGAAAAUAAUUUAGAUUUUGGUUCAUAAAUUCACGAUGUUCAAAGUUGUUUUAUAAAAAAAAAAGAAUUAGGUUUAUGUGAUGAGAACAAAAAAAGUCAUACAACAAUGAUUUUAACGGUCUAAUACUUAAAUAAAAACUUUGAAAUAAUUAAAUAAAUAUUUUAAUGACUUUGAAUGUAAUUUAAAUUAUUUAAAAUAAAUAGUAUUGUUAAAUAUAAAUAUCGAAUAAUAAAAUUUGAAAAUCAAUCAACAAGUGUAAAAUAUUUAAUAAAUGGUAUAAUUUUAAAAGAGAAAUAAAAAUUAUCAAGUGAUAAAUAUAUCUUGAAGAUUUUAUCCUAAAUUAUUAAACACAUUAAAUAAGUCAAUAAUGAUUAGAUUACGAUAAAAUAAUUAUUUAAAAAAUAAAUAUAUUUAUUAAAAGAUCAUGUAAAAGGAUAAAGUUAGAAGAUUUAAAUUUCAGGAAUUAAAUUUAAAUCUUGAUAUAAAUAUUAAUACAAAUUUUUAAAAAGAAAAGAUAUAUUUGAUAUGAUUUGAUAUUCACAAAAUUUCUGUCUUUUCUAAUAAUAAAUCGGUGAACUAUCUAGUAGUUGGAAGAACCAAAGCUUAUUAUCAGAGAGAACCUGCGUUGCCGGAACAUGGCUUGCCUCAAUGCCCGACGAUCUCUAUCAACUCUUUUAAGCCGCACCCUCACUUCUUCUUCUUAUUCUUCCUUUCCUUCCCGUUCUCGCCUCACUGUUGCUUUCCUCAACAAAACCCCAGUUUUUAUCCCCGAUGCAACCAAAAUCCUGACCCGAACCAAGACAUACAGGUCCGGCUACUGGCCUUUUCGUGACCCUUCCCGAUUACCAUCGGUUUUCCUAGAUGGCCAUAAUUACGAACAUUGGCUUAUCAUUUUGGAAUUCCCAGAACGCCCAAAACCUUUGGAAGAAGAAAUGAUCGACACCUAUGUUAAAACUCUCGCUUCUGUUGUCGGCAGGUUUUUAAAUUAUAAUUAUUCCUUCAUAUUUCAUUAAAUUUGGGUUUUCUUUUUCUUUUUUUGUUCGUUCUGAUCUUGUAGUGAAGAGGAAGCGAAAAAGAGAAUAUACUCUGUCUGUACAACGAGGUAUACUGGAUUUCGUGCUUUUUUCUCUGAGGAUUUGGUCGAAGAACUUGGAGGUAAUAUCAUUUCCCAUUUACUAGGGUGUAGGGUUUACAUGAUUUUCCCUUUUCCUAGUGUAAUUGGAACAAGAAACGGGUUUUUUGAAACAGUGGGUUUUCAGAAAGAAGAAAGAAUUAACAUUGGUUUUCCUUGUGUGUGAUGUGUUGCUAGCUGUUUUAGGGUUUUAAACCUCCCGAUGUGAUUGCUUUCUAUAUUAAUUUAGUAGGGUUUAAACGGUUUUCCCCAAUUGCUUUUGUGAGUGUUUUUGAACUUACAAUUGAUGAGGCAUCCACUUUGUUCUAAAAUCAAUUGGCAUUAGUUUCUACAGAGUUACCUCGUGUACGCUGGGUUUUACCAGUUUGGUGUUGGAGCCGAGAUCAUUAUUAUGCAGGUGGGUAGUUUAAAGAUGAAGUUUGCUGUUUAUAGCCAUUGAAGUUCCCAUUGUCAACAAAUUUAAUCUCUUUUUUAUUGGUGGAUUGAUUACCAGGGGACUUGUUUGUUGAUGGGAAAGUCCUUCAUAGACCGCAAUUUCCAUGGGUUGGCGUUCCAAAUAGCAACCACAGAGUUGGAGGAUGUGGUGAUCAUGAGCUUUGGCUUAUCACUUUCGAAUUCCGGGAAGAACCUUCCUUUGAAGAAAAGAUUGAUUUCUAUGUUAAAACCCUCGCUUUUGUUGUCGGCAGGUUUUUCAUUCCUUCAAAUUUGCGUUUUUUUUCCUGGAAUUUGAGAAAUGGGUUUUAUUUUUCUUUUUUGUUUGUAGUGAAGAGGAAGCGAAAAAGAGAAUAUACGCCGUAGGUGGUAGUCUUGUUGCUCACUGCCAUUGUCAACAAAUUUAAUCUCCUUUUUCUUAUUAGGGGAUUUGCUUGUUGAUGGGGAAGUCGUUCUUAGACCAACCAUAAAGGAUUUUGAUGGAGGCCGAUUAGUACGUUUGGUGGCGGACCAGAUAUUAAACGAUAUUUAUAUUCGCAAAAUGGAUGAAACCAAAACCGAAACCGAGGGCUAGGACCAGAUCUUUUCCGAUUUGGUGGAUUCAUAAAUCUCUUUAUUUAAUUUUUUUAAUUUAUGUGUUCAAUAUUAGAAGAGUCAUAAUUAUUUGAAUUAUUAAUUCGUGUAAUCUCCAUUCCUAAUGAGUACUUGUUGUUAUUAUUUAAAAUAUAUACGUUUGGUUAUUUAUAAAUCUAUUCUAAUAUCUUUAAUCAUCAUCUCAUUGUAGUCUAAAUUAUUGGUAAUUUAUGUUUUAAUUUCUGAAUUAUUCCCACCAACAUUGGGGAGGACGACAAAGUCUUCUACAGUAUCAAAAUCCCAUGGAUCCUUCUCACCCCAUACUUUUUAAUUUUUUUUCCAAAUGAAUGAUAGUAUAAGUAUAUUAUUGGUUUAAUAUAUCAUUUGGUAUUCGAAUUUGAUAUAUUCUCUUAAUGUAGUAGUUAUGGUAUUUUCUUUAUUCAAUUUUGGUACCUAAAGAUAAUGAUUUUAACUUUUUAGUGUUUAAUUUGGGCUCUAGGAUGGACUUAGGCCUAUAUUAUUUACAGUUUAUCUAUCCAAUAUAUUAAAUGCCUGAUUAAGUUAAUUUUAGUUAUUAAUCGAGUUCCAAUUAAAAAAUUACUAAAUAUUAUAUAUUUUAUAAAAUAAUUUUAUAUACACCAUAGUUUUUAUAUAUUUGACAUUAUUUGUACUUUAUAAGAAUUAAAGUGUGUGAUGAAUAAAAAAGAAAAGCAAAUAAAGACACUGUACUGUAACCAUGAUGACACAUAGGCAUACCAGCUAAGCUUCCAAAAUUCUUUUAUUUUUAUUUGGUAUUAUAACUUACCUGAUCCUUUUAAUUUUUUAAAAUAUAUAUUUGAAAUUUUUUUAAAGCAAAAUAAUAAAAAAGUAAGAUAUUUUAGUAUGAUCAACUUGAAUCAUUGAUCACUUAUUUAGAUUCCAUAAUUAUUAUUUUAGAAAAAGUUUGAUAUAUUUUUUCAAAAAUUACAAAUUUUAAAAUUUUUAUAAAUAUUUUGAAUUUUAAAAAUUACUUUUCAAAAUUUAAAAAUUACUUUUUUUUGUUAAAAUAGACCAAUUUGCUCAUUUUAAAAUUUGAUGGGGACCAAACAGUAUUUAUACUAAUCUGUUAUUCGAAUUAUUUGAGUUAUUUAAAUUGUAAAAAUUUAACUCGACUCGAACUCGAAAUCUAAAAUUUCUUAUUCGAGUUGACUCAAAUAGUUUGAAUAACUUGAUUUUGUUAACUCAAAAUUUAAAUUUUUUUUUCGUUUUUUGAAUUAAAUUAAAAUUUGUUCCACCGUAAUUAGAUAUAAUCAUAGUAAUUGAGUUAUUUGAAUUAUUGUUCGCUAUUGGCCCCUUAAUGAACCUUCUCUCUCCCCUUGGGGUGCAUGCAUGGGCGCAGACACAAAUACAUCAAAAUCUUGAAGAUUUGUGGUAACUGUCAUAGUGGGUCCCAAUCUCCCAACAAACAUCGGCCAAAGCCUUUUAGGUAGCAUGUCAUCGUUAGAGCACCUUUUUGAUGAACGAGCACUACACAAGGGGCUGUUUUUUUGGGUUAAAUCCUGUUGUUGGUCCUAAUACUUGCAUAGAGUUUUAGUUGAAACUUAUCAAUUUAAAAUUUUCAAUUUGUCAGUAGCUUCUAUUAAAACUUAUCAAUUUUUAAUUUUGGGUUAAAUUUUUUAUUUUUUUAAAAUUUAAAACUUCAUAAAAAUUAUAAAAAUAUUUUUAAAUAUUAAAAAAUAUUUUUUAAUAUACCAUAUUAACAAAGUUAACAAAUAUUAAUUUUUUCAUUCAUUUUAAGGUAAAUUGAUUAAAAUACAAAUUUAAAGACUAAAAAAGAAAAAAACUUAAAUAAAGUACUAAAUGUUUUAUUUUUCUUUUCAUCCCUCAUUUCUCUCUUUCCUACACUCGUCCUAAAACACUCGUACUAAUUUAAAGCCUCAAGUCGUUUUUUGGCUUCCUCCUCGCCAUCUUCAUAAAUCAUUUUAGGGUGGAGCCCUUUCUUUAUUAAGUUGGCGAAGAGCGCCAAUGUUGUGUUCGUCGUUCUCUGCUCGGACCACCUCGAAAGUCUACCAAAGACCAUAAGGUAGGUGGUAAAAUCAUUUUUUAGUUACAGCCGCGUCAGAUACCUCACGGCGACAGGAAUAUUUCCUGAUUUACACAAUGCUUCAAGCAACUCAUCUGAAGCAGCAGGACAACCAAUAGUACGUUGGCUUCCUCCUCGCCAUCUUCGUAAAUAGUUUAGGGUGAAGCCCUUUCUUUAUGAAGUUGGCGAAGAGAGCCAAUAUUGUGUUCUCCGUUCUCCGCUCGGACCACAUCAAAAGUUCGUCAGUGACCAUAUGGUAGGUGGUCUCAUCAUUUUUUAGUUCCAACGGUGUCAGAUACCUCACAGCGACAUGAAUAUUUCCUGAUUUACACAAUGCUUCAAGCAACUUAUGUGAAGCAGCAGGACUACGAAAGAAACCCGAGGUUAUCAUAAUUCCAAGGACGGCUAAAGUAUUUUUUUUUCUUUCAAGAAAUGGUGGGUCAAUGAUACGAGAUCAAAGGCCCGGCAAAGGCGUUCCAAACUAAAUGGGACCAUCCAGGAGUUUGUUAGUAAGGCCUUAGAUGCGUACACAAAAGAAAGGGAAAAUCAAGAUUUCAAAUAUUGGGAAUCUUGGUCCAAGACACCAAAUCUUGCAGCCAAAGCACAUUGGAUCUCCAUUACGAGCAUCAACGAUUCAAUUUCGGUAGGAGAUGGAUCACAAGCCCAAAUUCUUGAUGGCAAGGCCCAAUAAGAAGAUUCCAAGCCCAAUCAAGAAAUCCACCCAUACUUAGUUGAAAAUCAGGCCAAAUUGUCAAAGUGGCCCAAGUUGUAAAGUUUUAUUUUUAUUUAUUUAUUUAUUUAUUUUACUUAGUUUAAAUUUUUAUAUUCAGUCCAAGAGUCCCAAAUAAAAGACCAUUGGCCGAAUUUCCAUAUUAAAAUAAUUAGGAGUUUUUUUUUAGUUUUAGUUUUAGUGUUCUAAUUAAAUUAGGAAAACAUUUGAAAGGCCUAUUUAUAUGGCUUGGCCAGCCACCCUACAUUACAUUACAAUUACAUUGAAAAUUUCAGAUUUGAUUUGAGUGAAAAUUCUCUUUGAGUUCUUCAAGGAUUUUCUCUUGAGUUUUCUUUAGAAGUUGUUUUAACAAUCUUUUUGAUUGUGGGAGCCAUCUUCAACCUUCUUCUUGCCAUUGAUAUUCUUUGGAGGGGAGAUUAGAGCCGUUUGAAGGGAGUUGUGAGAUCUUUCGGGAUUUCAAGGCUUCUUAGGACUUAUCUUUUAAUUUCUUACUGUCAAUUCUUUCUUUAUUUCUGCUUGUGCCGAAUCUUUAUCUAAUUUAUUUUCUGUUCUUAUUGUGUUUUCAGCCUUUUUCUAUCUUAAGGAAUUAGCCCAAAAAUCCCCAAUUUCUAGGGUUCUUGCCGAUUCAUCCAUACUCUUUUUGGGAGAAAUUAGAUUGCCGAAAUUUGGGGAAAACUAUCUGGGUGUUCAAUUGGGCAGAAUCGCAAUCUCUUCUAGGGUUUCAAGAUUCCUUAUUAACACUUAUUUCUAUUCUCUAUUUGAUUCUUUACUGUUUUGGGGAUUUUAUUUCAGAUCUGAAAAUUUAAAAAUCUAAUCUUUUAAUUUUCUGUUUCGUUUCAGAUCUAAUUGUUUAGGGUUUUCGUAGGAGUUUCUCGUGACUUGGCAACUCGAUCUUGGUCCGCGCGCAACCCCGUAUCAUUUGGUAUCAGAUUUUGGGCGUUUUGGGUGUUCAUGGUUGAUUUCUAAACUGAUCUCUAUUUUUUAAAUUACAAACAGCAAUUUUACCCAGAAAAAUUUUCGAAAAAAAUUCAUUUGAGUGGGUAAACGUUUUCUGAUUGAUCUGAAAUUUUACAUACAUAUUUUUGGCACUGUUAUUGAAUAUACAAAAAUAUUUCCCGCAAAAAAAUAAGUCGAAAAAUUCAAAAAAAUGAAAAAAUACGAAAUCCAAUAAAAAAUUAAAAAAAUAUUCAGCAGGUUGAAUUUGGUGCCCAAAUUUUCCAGAUCAAAAAUUCAAUAUUUGAAGACAUUCCAAAUUUAAUUUUGUGAUUUUUUAAGAUCGGGAACACCUCGAACGAAGUUGUCAAGUUACUCCGCAAUUUUUCUGGUUUUCUGUUUUCAACAAUUUUUAUUGAUUCUUAGCUGUAGGUUUUCAUUUGUUUACUUUUUAUUCUCCCUUUACAAUAUCUAACACCUUCUUGUUUUUUGUGUUAGUAGGAUUUAAACGUGUGCCCAAUUCUUCCUCGGUGCAACACGAAUCAAUUGGUGUCUCGUCAGUUUUUGGCAUCCUAGUGCACAUUAGGAUUCUUUGGUAGAUCGGUUCAUCCACUCUCUAAUUGGUUGAUAUAAACUUUGAUAAAGAACUCACAAGAUUGAAUUCUACCUCAUUGAGAAUUUGAAUUUUCUUUUUGAGUGAUUAACGGUGAGGUUUGCUAACUUUUAUUUUUGAGUGUUGAGUGUUUUGCAGAUUUUUAAAAAAAAUGUCUACAGGUGAUAAUAAUGGUGACAUAUUUAAAAAAUUCCAACAACAGUUGGAUGAACAGGCUGCUGCUCUUCGAGCUUUGACUGCUACCAUCAAUGAGGUGCGAUUGAAUCAAGAACCUCAUCCAAUCAAAGAAGAUAGGGAUAACCAACCCCAAAGGCGCGGCCCUCGACGUGUUACUAGAAUGGAUGAUGAUUUUCAUGAUCGUGGGCAACCUUCUUUGGCAAAACCAAAAUUCACAAUUCCCCAAUUUCGUGGUAAGAAUGAUCCUGACGCUUAUUGUGAAUGGGAAUCUAAGAUUGAACUUAUGUUUCGGUAUUAUAAAUGUCCGGAUGAUGAAAAGGUAGCGUUAGCAACACUGGAAUUUUCUGAUUAUGCAUUAAGUUGGUGGACUCAACUUGGGGUAAACCGCCAUCGGAAUUAUGAAGGUGAGAUUUCGACAUGGGAUGAGUUGAAACAGAUUAUGCGUAAAAGGUUUAUUCCACCUCACUACUAUAGAGAAAUUAAAACAAAGCUGAGAAGACUUAUCCAAGGUAGUAGGACGGUGGAUGAAUAUUUUAAAGAGAUGGAGAUGCUCAUUCAGAGAGCUAACAUGGAGGAGGAUGAAGAAACAACUAUGGUUCGAUUCAUUGAUGGUUUGAACAGGCCGAUAGCUAAUACAUUGAGGCUACAAACUUAUAUUGAUUUGGAAGAAGCAGUUCACAAAGCCAUUGAGAUCGAGCAAAAAUUAAAGGAACAAAGGUUUGGGUCAUUCUCUACUUCACAAUAUUACCGAGGUAACAAUUCCAAUUCUGAUUUUAAGAGUUCAAAACCACCUUUUGUUACUAAUAAGUCUUCUUUGAGUAACAAGCAGUCAGAUUGGAAAAAAAGGGGCUCCUGCUAAAACGCAAACACCUUCUAAGCAGCCCAAUUUAGGUGAUUCGAGUGUGAAGAGGACUCGUGAGGUUGAAUGUUUUAAGUGCAAAGGGCGUGGUCAUUAUAGUAGGGAAUGCCCUAACACGAGAUUCCUUCUUCUAAAAGAUAAUGGUGAGUAUACUUCCGACUCUGAUAAAACAGAUCCAAAUAUGACAGAACUUGUUGAUGACAGUGAUAAUGGCGAAGAGUUGGUUGAACCACCCAGAGAAGGAGACUUUGCUGAUUUUCAAUGCCUUGUAGUUCGUCGAACCCUUAACAUUCAGAUGAAAGAUGAUGAUAGCCAAAGGGCCAAUAUUUUCCAUUCUCGGUGUUUUAUUAAAGGUAACUUAUGUUCACUCAUUAUUGAUAGUGGUAGUUGCUCAAAUGUGGUGAGUAGCUAUUUGGUUGAUUCUUUAAAGUUACCUUGCACCAAACACCCUAAGCCAUAUCACCUUCAGUGGCUUAAUGAAUGUUCCGAAGUUAAAGUUACGAAACAGUCCUUGGUCACUUUUAAACUCGGCAAUUAUGAAGAUGAAGUAUGGUGUGACGUAGUCCCAAUGCAUGCGGCACAUUUGCUCCUUGGACGACCUUGGUAAUUUGAUCGCGAUGUUACACACCAAGGUAAACUUAAUCGAUACUCCCUUGUAUUUAAAGGUAAGAAAUUCACUUUUGCUCCUUUAAAUCCUACUGAUGUAUAUAAAGAUCAAUUGAGGAUGAUAAAAUUUUGUGAGGGGGUAAGGGAGAAAGAGCAAGUACAAAAGACAGAGAGAAAAGAGGCUAAUAGUAGUGGAAAAAGUCAAAAUUUAAAAAGCCCAAAGGUGAGUGAAUCCUCUAGUGGUAAAAUGAGCGAAAAAAAUCUUUUGGCAACAAAAAAAGAUGUGAAGAGAGCCCUACUUAAUAAACAGCCUUGUAUCCUUGUGAGGUUUAGGCAAAAUUAUUUAUCUUUAUCUAACAUUAACGAAAAUUUGCCUAGUGUGUUUCAAUCUCUUUUGCAGGAUUAUGAGGAUGUUUUUAGUGAGGCCCCUAAAGGUUUACCACCUUUACGAGGGAUAGAACAUCAAAUUGACUUAAUACCCGGAGCUUCAAUCCCAAAUAGACCAGCCUAUAGAUGCAAUCCUGAGGAGACAAAGGAAUUGCAAAGGCAAGUUGAGGACUUACUAGACAAAGGGUACAUUCGUGAGAGCCUAAGUCCUUGUGCUGUUCCUGUCUUAUUGGUGCCAAAGAAAAAUGGUAACGUUUCGUAUGUGUGUUGAUUGUCGCCCAAUCAACAAGAUAAUGGUAAAGUAUCGACACCCAAUCCCUAGACUUGAUGAUAUACUUGAUGAAUUACAUGGUUCAAUAAUAUUUACAAAAAUUGAUUUAAAAAGCGGUUAUCAUCAAAUUCGAAUGAGGGAAGGGGAUGAAUGGAAAACAGCUUUUAAAACAAAAUUUGGAUUGUAUGAAUGGUUAGUUAUGCCUUUCGGCCUUACUAAUGCACCUAGUACAUUUAUGAGAUUAAUGAAUCAUGUUUUAAGUCUUCAGUUGGGUAAAUUUGUAGUAGUUUACUUUGAUGAUAUUUUAAUUUACUCCAAGUCAUUAGAUGAUCAUGUUUUCCAUGUUAGAACCGUUUUGGAUAUUCUACGAACUGAAAAAUUAUUUGCCAACCUUGAUAAAUGCACAUUCUGUUGUGAUAAACUAAUAUUCUUAGGUUUCAUAGUUAGUGCUCAAGGUAUUCAUGUCGACGAGGACAAAGUCAAGGCAAUUAAGGAGUGGCCGACUCCUAAAUCGGUAACUGAGGUGAAAUCUUUCCAUGGUUUAGCUAGUUUUUAUAGACGAUUUGUGAAAGAUUUCUCUACUAUUGCUGCCCCAUUGACAGAGGUUAUAAAGAAAUCAGUGGGUUUCAAAUGGGGGGAAACCCAAGAAAAGGCCUUUCAAACUCUAAAAGCUAAGUUAUGUUCUGCUCAUUUGCUUAAAUUACCUGAUUUUGCUAAAACUUUUGAACUUGAGUGUGAUGCUUCAGGAAUUGGAAUUGGCGCUGUUUUAAUGCAAGAUAAGCAACCUAUUGCUUAUUUUAGUGAGAAAUUGAAUGGUGCACAGUUAAACUACUCGACUUAUGACAAAGAACUAUUAGCAUUAGUUCGUGCACUUCAAGUAUGGCAACAUUAUUUGCUGCCUAAUGAGUUUGUCAUACACACAGAUCACGAAUCUCUUAAAUGGUUAAAGGGACAAGGUAAGUUGAGUAAAAGACAUGUUCGAUGGGUAGAAUUCAUUGAAACAUUCCCUUAUGUGAUACAAUAUAAAACAGGUAAAGAUAAUGUAGUUGCAGAUGCUUUGUCUAGACGAUAUACUUUAAUAACUACAUUGAAUGCUAAAGUCUUAGGGUUCGAACAUAUUAAGGAACUAUAUGAUGAUGAUGAUGCUGAUUUCGGCCAUAUCUAUAAGAAUUGUGGACAUACUGCUUUCGAUAAAUUUUAUCUUGUAGAUGGCUUUCUUUUUCGUAUGAACAAGUUAUGCAUACCAAAGUGUUCCAUGAGAGACUUAUUGAUUCAUGAGGCCCAUAGUGGAGGUUUAAUGGGACAUUUUGGAGUGGCCAAAACACUGGAUAUCUUGCAAGAACACUUCCAUUGGCCACAUAUGAAAAAGGAUGUCGAAAAGGUAUGUUCCAAGUGCAUUACAUGCAAACAAGCAAAAUCUAAGGUAAUGCCUCAUGGCCUUUACACUCCUUUACCGAUUCCUACUUCACCUUGGGUAGAUUUAUCCAUGGACUUUAUUCUAGGUUUGCCUCGAAAUAAGAAAGGAAGAGAUAGUAUAUUUGUUGUUGUUGACAGGUUCUCAAAGAUGGCACAUUUUAUUUCUUGUCACAAAAUAGAUGAUGCUACACAUGUAGCAGACUUAUUCUUUAAAGAGGUGGUAAGACUUCAUGGCAUCCCUAAAACAAUUGUUUCUGACAGAGAUGUCAAAUUUCUUAGCCACUUUUGGAAGGUAUUGUGGGGUAAGCUUGGUACUAAAUUACUUUAUUCCACUACAUGUCACCCCCAAACUGAUGGCCAAACCGAAGUAGUUAAUCGGAUCUUAGGGACUUUAUUACGAUCUGUUGUGGGAAAGAACAUUAGAAAUUGGGAAGAAUGCCUACCGUUUGUUGACUUUGCAUAUAAUAGAUCUAUUCAUUCUACAACUGGUUAUUCUCCAUUUGAACUUGUUUAUGGUUUUAACCCACUAACAGUACUUGAUCUUGCGCCAUUACCACUUGAACACAUUGUUAAUUUAGAUGGUGAACAGAAAGCUGAGUUGGUGAAAUCCUUACAUGAGCAGGCUAGGCAACGAAUAGCCAAAACAUAUGAUGCCAACACCAACAAAGCAAACAAGGGGCGCAAACGGGUUGUCCUAGAACCCGGAGAUUGGGUUUGGGUCCAUAUGAGGAAAGAACGAUUUCCUGCAAGAAGAAAGACCAAGUUGGACCCAAGGGGCGAUGGGCCUUUCCAAGUACUCGAGAGGAUCAACGAUAAUGCCUAUAAAAUUGAUCUACUUGGUGAGUACAAUGUAAGUUCUACUUUUAAUGUGGCUGACUUGUCCCCAUUUUAUUUUUCAGAUUCGAGGUCGAAUCUUUUUGAGGAAGGGGGGAAUGAUACGAGAUCAAAGGCCCGACAAAUGCGUUCCAAACUAAAUGGGACCAUCCAGGAGUUUGUUAGUAAGGCCUUAGAUGCGUACACAAAAGAAAGGGAAAAUCAAGAUUUCAAAUAUUGGGAAUCUUGGUCCAAGACACCAAAUCUUGCAGCCAAAGCGCAUUGGAUCUCCAUUACGAGCAUCAACGAUUCAAUUUCGGUAGGAGAUGGAUCACAAGCCCAAAUUCUUGAGGGCAAGGCCCAAUAAGAAGAUUCCAAGCCCAAUCAAGAAAUCCACCCAUACUUAGUUGAAAAUCAGGCCAAAUUGUCAAAGUGGCCCAAGUUGUAAAGUUUUAUUUUUAUUUAUUUAUUUAUUUAUUUUACUUAGUUUAAAUUUUUAUAUUCAGUCCAAGAGUCCCAAAUAAAAGACCAUUGGCCGAAUUUCCAUAUUAAAAUAAUUAGGAGUUUUUUUUUAGUUUUAGUUUUAGUGUUCUAAUUAAAUUAGGAAAACAUUUGAAAGGCCUAUUUAUAUGGCUUGGCCAGCCACCCUACAUUACAUUACAAUUACAUUGAAAAUUUCAGAUUUGAUUUGAGUGAAAAUUCUCUUUGAGUUCUUCAAGGAUUUUCUCUUGAGUUUUCUUUAGAAGUUGUUUUAACAAUCUUUUUGAUUGUGGGAGCCAUCUUCAACCUUCUUCUUGCCAUUGAUAUUCUUUGGAGGGGAGAUUAGAGCCGUUUGAAGGGAGUUGUGAGAUCUUUCGGGAUUUCAAGGCUUCUUAGGACUUAUCUUUUAAUUUCUUACUGUCAAUUCUUUCUUUAUUUCUGCUUGUGCCGAAUCUUUAUCUAAUUUAUUUUCUGUUCUUAUUGUGUUUUCAGCCUUUUUCUAUCUUAAGGAAUUAGCCCAAAAAUCCUCAAUUUCUAGGGUUCUUGCCGAUUCAUCCAUACUCUUUUUGGGAGAAAUUAGAUUGCCGAAAUUUGGGGAAAACUAUCUGGGUGUUCAAUUGGGCAGAAUCGCAAUCUCUUCUAGGGUUUCAAGAUUCCUUAUUAAUACUUAUUUCUAUUCUCUAUUUGAUUCUUUACUGUUUUGGGGAUUUUAUUUCAGAUCUGAAAAUUCAAAAAUCUAAUCUUUUAAUUUUCUGUUUCGUUUCAGAUCUAAUUGUUUAGGGUUUUUGUAGGAGUUUCUCGUGACUUGGCAACUCAAUCUUGGUCCGCGCGCAACCCCGUAUCAGUCAAGCAUCCUUGGAUGUGGUGGUGGGUCAUUCUGAAAAAUAGAAGAGCACAAUUUAAAAAUAUGAUGUUUUCGUAGGAAGCUCAUGGUGAAAGACGUUAAAAAAGAACUAAGGGUUUUUAUAAGAAUAGAAAAUGAACAAUAGCGUCUAUAAGCAAGAAUGCAGCAGAGGGUUGAUUUUGGCUCUGCAAGGAAGUCGUUCUUAAAGAAACUGAAAGCAGCUAGGAUCCAGAACUGAGACCCAAUCUGUGGCGCUAGGAUCCGUGUGUUUUCUAGCGCUUGGGGUUUAGGUUUAUGUAUAUUUUCGACUUCCUCGUCGGGGAGCUCCACUCUCUUUAUUAAGAGGGCUAUCUUAGAACCAAAUCCCAAAGCCGUAAGUCGGAAAGCUUUGGCCUCAUCCUCUCCAUCCUCGUCAUUGGUUGUAGGGUGGAGCCGACCUUUCUGUUUUGAGUCGUUCAAGACAGCCAAUAUUACGUUGCCUUCCUCCUCGCCAUCUUCGUAAAUAGUUUUAGGGUGGAGCCCUUUCUUUAUGAAGUCAGCGAAGAGAGCCAAUAUUGUGUUCGCCGUUCUCCGCUCGGACCACCUCUAAAGUCUACCAAAGACCAUAAGGUAGGUGGUAAAAUCAUUUUUUAGUUACAGCCGCGUCAGAUACCUCACGGCGACAGGAAUAUUUCCUGAUUUACACAAUGCUUCAAGCAACUCAUUUGAAGUAGUAGAACUACGAAAGAAACCCGAUGUUAUCAUAAUUCCAACGACGGCUAAAGUAUUUUUUUUUGCUUUCAAGAAAUUGUGGGUCAAGCAUCCUUAGAAGUGGUGGUUGGUCAUUCUGUAAAAUAAAAGAGCACAUUUUAAAAAGGAAGCUCAUGGUGAAAGACGUUAAAAAAACUAAGGGUUUUUGUGGGAAUAGAAAAUGAACAAGAGCGUCUAUAAGCAAGAAUGCAGUAGAGGGUUGAUUUUAGCUCUGUAAGGAAGUCGUUCUUAAAGAAACUGAAAGCAGCUAGGAUCAAGAACCGAGACUCGAUCCGCGGCGCUAGGAUCUGCGUGUUUUCUAGCACUUGGGGUUUAGGUUUAUGUAUAUUCUCGACUUCCUUGUUGGGGAGCUCCCCUCUCUUUAUCAAGAGGGCUAUCUUAGAACCAAAUCCCAAAGCCACAAGUCGGAAAGCUUUGGCCUCAUCCUCGCCACCCUCGUCAUUGGUUGAGGGUAGAGUCACCCUUUCUGUUUUGAGUUGUUCAAGACAGCCAAUAUUACAUUGGCUUCCUCCUCGCCAUCGUCGUAAAUAGUUUUAGGGUGGAGCCCUUUCUUUAUGAAGUUGGCGAAGAGAGCCAAUAUUGUGUUCGCCGUUCUCUGCUCGGACCACAUCAAAAGUUCGUCAGUGACCAUAUGGUAGGUGGUCACAUCAUUUUUUAGUUCCAACCAUGUCAGAUACCUCACGGCGACAGGAAUAUUUCCUGAUUUACACAAUGCUUCAAGCAACUUAUGUGAAGCAGCAGGACUACGAAAGAAACCCGAGGUUAUCAUAAUUCCAACGAUGGCUAAAGUAUUUUUUUUGCUUUCAAGAAAUAGUGGGUCAAGCAUCCUUGGAAGUGGUGGUGGGUCAUUCUGUAAAAUAAAAGAGCACAUUUUAAAAAUAUGAUGUUUUCGUAGGAAGCUCAUGGUGAAAGAUGUUAAAAAAAACUAAGGGUUUUUGCGAGAAUAGAAAAUGAACAAGAGCGUUUAUAAGCAAGAAUGCAGUAGAGGGUUGAUUUUGGCUCUGCAAGGAAGUCAUUCUUAAAGAAACUGAAAGCAGCUAGGAUCCGAGACCCGAGACCCGAUCCGCGGCGCUAGGAUCCGCGUGUUUUCUAGCGCUUGGGGUUAUUUUCCCAGUCAGUCCUUACUAUUUUUAAACUUUUUCAAUUUAAUCCUGUUCAUUUUUUUGUUUUUUAAUUUUUUUCCCUAUGAUUUUCGCAUUGUUUCAUUUAGUCCACAUUGGAACUGUGCGUUUUGAAAGAGAGGGAAUAUUUUCCAUUUUGGUCCCUCUAUCUUAUUCGUGCAUUACGAUUAAGUCCUUCACCUUAUUUUAAUUCCCAAUUCCUCCCCCAGAAUUUUGUUUGGCUUUCAAUUUCAGUCCUUAUUAUAUUUUUAUUUUUUUAAAAUACUUUUGCAUUUUUAUAUUUUAUAUUUUUAUUAUUUAAAUUUCUACUUUUAAGUUCAAUUAAUCUAUUUUAUUUCAACCUUUCCACAAACUUUUUAUUUUAUUUAUUUAUUUCUUUAUUAUUUCUUCUUCCUUUUACAUUAAAAAAAUAGAUUAUUCGUACUCUUUUUUUAAUUGUGCGUUUUUAGUAUUGUUGUUAUUAUUUUAAUUCUAAAGUUUUUGUUGUUCUGACUUCUUGUUGUUUUAUUAUUUCUAAUAUCUUCAGGUUAUGUUUAUUUAUCUUUUUUAAAUUGUGCAUUUUCCGUUUUCAUUUUAAUUUUAAGUUACUUUAUUUAUCUUAUUAUUGUAAUUUGAUUAUUAAUAUUAUUACAAUUUUUAUAAUCAAUUCAUGUCACAUUAAUUUUCUAAUACAGAAAUUAAAUAAUAUAAUAAAAAAAUUGAGAUUCAUAAAUAAUAACAAAUUUGGAAGAAACAGAUUUGGUGGAUUCAUAAAUCUCAUUAUUGAUUUUUUUAAUUUUAAAAAUAUAUUAUUUAUACCUAAUAGUAUUUUGUUCUAGGAUCAUAAAAGCUUAAAAAUUACAAAAUACCUAAUUUCAAAAUUUUUACGAUUUAGUCCCUAUUACACAAAAUUUAUAGCCUAUUCUACAAUUAAAUCCUUCUCCCACUUCUAACUUGAAAUUCUAUUAAUUCAAUCCCUAAUUCACACUUUUACUCAACAAAAUUAGUGUCUAAAAAUCUAAUAACUUCCAAAAUUUCAACAUAUACCUAGUAGUAUUUUGUUCUAGGAUCAUAAAAGCUUAAAAAUUACAAAAAAAGAGAGACUUAAAUUGACUUACUAAUUCAAUUUGGAACCUUUAAAACCUUAUUUCCUUAUUCCUUCUUUUCUCCCUUCUUUCCUUUCUUUUUCUUUCUGUUUCGUCCCUGCUUAAUGUUCUGUUUCUUUCUUUCUUUUAUCAACAAGACCCUCCUUAUGGAGUCCCUUCUCACAAAGAAAGCUAAUGACCUCAGUAUAGGUUUCAACAUCAUGUUUGAAACCUUACCUUCUUUGCACAAUGUCCUAAUCAAAGCUCCAAUAAUUUUAAAAUUAGGCCAGAAACCUGAGGUGACCAUUUUGCCGAUUUCGACUAAACCUUCAUUAGAUCGAUCUGCCCCAAAAUAGGUAGAAACCAAUAAGUUGAAACAAUAAUAUUACAAUUACUUAAUGAAUAUGUAAAAUUAAUUUAUUACCAUUUACUAAAUAUCUUGCAAUUUUUGUGCAAUUUUAAUGCAUUUGAAAUAAUAACAAUAACUUUGCUUUAAAUUAUAACAUUCGUAACUUUUUGAAAAUUUUAUUAAACCCUUAAAAUUUAAUUCCAGAUAUCUACCCCACUUGUGGAAGUUACGAAUAUUUAAUGGUCAAAUAAAUUUUCAAAUCCCACUCGGGCUAUAUAACGAAUGGCCUCAGAGAGUUUUCCUCCUUCAUUAAAUGAAUGAAUCAAAAUCAUUGAAUCAACAGGACUAGGAUGCAUAACUGACUUGAUAUUCUUGCCAAAAAUGGCUAACACAUUAUGAAGUUAUUUCAUUUGACUGUGUAAUCACUGAAUUUUGCCCGGGAAUAAUUUCGUGUUAAAAAAAUUUUUAAAAUUUUUUUUUAAAAAAUUUGCAUUUUGACCCCUAAACUUUUCUAAAAUCACAUUUUGACCUCUAAUUUUUUUCAAAAUUACAUUUCAACCCCUAAAAUUUUCUAAAUUACAUUUUGACACCUAAACUUUCUCAAAAUUACAUUUUGACCCCUAAACUUUCUCAAAAUUACAUUUUGACCCCUAAACUUUCUCGAAAUUAUGUUUUGGCCCUAAAGCUUUUCCUACAUUUGCAGUUUAGUCCUUCUGGCAGCAACUUGCACACCUACCCCCGUGAUUUCUUGCCACCGGCCUAGGGCAUGGCCUCCCUCUCCCUUAGCCACCUACUACCUGCAAAAUGAAGCAAAAAUCCAUUAUAAAAGGGGUGUUUUACCCCUAAAAUCGAACACCCAAAAAACCAAAAAAAAAAGAGAAAGUUGUUCAUGCCGUUCGGAUUAAAGAAUGUGGGGAACUUUCUGCUAUAAGGUAAUGCCGUUCGGAUUAAAGAAUGCUGGGGCAACAUAUCAGAGAGUCAUGGUAACGUUAUUCCAUGAUAUGAUGCACAAAGAAAUAGAAGUUUAUGUCGAUGAUAUGAUUACCAAAUCUCGGGAAAAAGGAGAGCAUGUUGGGAGUCUUAGGAAGCUGUUUGAAAGAUUAAGAAAGUUCCAAUUGAAGCUUAACCCAGCCAAAUGUACGUUUGGGGCUACCUCAGGAAAACUGCUAUGUUUCAUUGUCAGUGGGAGAGGUAUCGAGGUUGAUCCAGAUAAGAUAAAAGCUAUACAAGAAUUGUCUCCCCCGCGCACACAAAAGGAAGUCAGAGGAUUUUUAGGAAGGUUGAAUUACAUUGCUCGAUUCAUUGCCAAACUUACCAAUUAGUGUGAUCCAAUUUUUAGACUCCUUCGAAAGCAUAAUCCGGGAGAAUGGAAUGAGGAGUGCCAAGUGGCCUUCGACAAGAUAAAACAGUAUCUAUCUAAUCUUCCGGUACUAGUACCACCGAUCCCUGGAAAACCAUUAAUAUUGUACUUGACCGUGUUUGAGAACUCAAUGGGUUACGUACUGGGACAACAUGACGAGUCGGGGAAAAGAGAAAAGGCAAUUUACUACCUCAGUAAGAAGUUCACAGAGUAUGAAGCGAAAUACCCUUCAAUUGAAAAAUUUUGUUGUGCAUUAAUUUGGACGGUUCGAAGGCUCAGACAAUACAUGCUGUAUCAUACGACAUGGUUAAUUUCAAAACUGGACCCAAUAAAGUACAUGAUGGAGUCACCUGCACUCUCAGGGAGGAUGGCACGAUGGCAGAUCUUAUUGACUGAGUAUGACAUUGUAUAUGUGAGCCAAAAGUCGAUAAAGGGAAGCGCAAUAGCUGACUUCUUGGCAAGUCGAACAACAGAGGAAUACGAGCCUUUGAGAUUUGAUUUCCCAAAUGAAGAUUUGAUGUGCAUUUUAGGAAAAGAAGGCGAGUCAUCAAAAGAGAAGUCAUGGAAGAUGAGCUUUGAUUGUGCAUCAAAUGCAUUGGGGCAUGGGAUCAGAGCAGUCUUAGUGUCGCCUGAAGGGAACCAUUACCCGCCUACUGCCAGAUUGAAUUUCUUCUGUACAAAUAAUAUAGCGGAAUAUAAAGCUUGCAUCAUGGGACUUCGUGCAGCUAUCGAUAGGAAAAUCAAAAUCUUAGAGGUGCACGGGGACUCAGCAUUAGUCAUUUACCAAAUUCGUGGAGAUUGGGAAGUGAGAGAUUCGAAAUUAGUCAAAUAUCGCGAUCUCGUUGUAGAGCUAAUCAAUGAAUUUUAUGAAGUGACUUUUAACUACUUUCCACGGGAAGAGAAUCAAUUGGCUGAUGCUCUGGCCACCUUGGCUUCGAUGUUUAAAGCAAACAGAGAAACUGAGAUAAUGCCUCUCCAAAUGAGUAUAUAUGAGGUCUCUGCACACUGUUUUAGCAUUGAGAAGGAGUCAGAUGGACGGUCGUGGUUUCAUGACAUCUUGGAGUACAUUAAGAAUCAGAGGUAUCCCGAGCAAGCAAACGAGAAUGACAAAAGAACAAUCAGAAGAAUGACUAUUGGAUUUCUUCUUGACGGGGAUAUUCUAUACAAAAGGGGAAAAGAUCAAGAGCUCCUAAGGUGCGUGGACGCUGUUGAAGCUAGAAAGAUACUUGAGGAGGUUCAUGAAGGAAUUUGUGGAACACAUGCUAGUGGUUUCACCAUGGCCAGGCAGAUUAUGAGGCUUGGUUAUUAUUGGCUGACGAUGGAAAGGGAUUGCAUUGGCUACGCACGAAAGUGCCACAAAUGUCAAAUUUAUGGCGAUAAAAUUCAUGUAGCUCCGUCGCCUCUUCAUGUCAUGACUUCUCCGUGACCUUUUUCUAUGUGAGGCAUGGAUGUUAUAGGGCCAAUUUCCCCGAAAGCUUUCAAUGGACAUCGAUUCAUCUUUGUGGUUAUAUAAUACUUCAUAAAACGGGUAGAAGCCACUUCGUUUGCUAAUGUGACAAAGGCUGCAGUCUGUAGGUUCUUAAAAAAGGAGAUCAUAUGUCGAUAUGGUCUGCCUGAAAGAAUCAUUUCAGAUAAUGCUUUAAAUUUGAACAACAAGAUGAUGAAAGAAGUAUGUGAGCAAUUUCAGAUAAAGCAUCGUAAUUCUUCGCCCUAUCGCCCGAAGAUGAACUGAGCAGUAGAAGCGGCUAAUAAGAACAUUAAGAGGAUUCUCGGGAAGAUGUCUGAGACAUAUAAAGACUGGCACGAGAAGCUACCAUUCGCUUUGUACGCAUAUCGCACCUCUGUAUGGGCUUCUACAGGGGCAACUCCUUUUUCUCUGGUAUACGGGAUGGAGGCUGUUCUACCUAUCGAAGUAGAGAUCCCAUCCCUGCGCGUCUUGAUGGAGACAAAGUUAGAAGAAUCAGAGUGGAUUCGAGCUCGAUAUGAUCAGCUAAACCUUAUUGAAGGGAAACGCUUGAAGGCAAUUUGUUAUGGACAGAUGUACCAGAAGAGAAUGAUCACGGCCUAUGAUAAAAAGGUACGACCAAGAGAAUUUCGCGAAGGGGAGCUCGUUUUAAGAAAGAUCCUCCCGAUACAAAAUGACUUUUGAGGAAAAUGGUCACCAAGUUGGGAAGGACCAUACGUUGUAAAAAAGGCAUUCUCAGGAGGGGCUCUGAUUCUCACUGAGAUGGAUGGGAAAGAAUUGCCUAAUCCAGUGAACUCAGAUGCUGUGAAGAAAUAUUAUGCCUAAAAAAACAAAAAAAGACUAAAAAACUAAAAAAGAUGAAAAAAAUCAAGAUGAAAACCUGAAAAGGGCGUUUUGAUAAACAAAAAGGAUUAGGAUGAAAACCCGAAAGGGCGUCCUAAUGAAGCAGAUGCGGGCCUAGGGAGCAAGACAACUUGAACGAGGAGUCGAAUGUCGAGGUUGCAACAUUUGAAGCAUUUUCAGAAGUUUAGAAUCUUCUACAUAAUAAUCCGUGCUCGAAAAGAUCCAGGAUGAAGAAACGCGGAGAAGUUCAUGCAUUAGAUAUCUAGAGCAUUUUUGGCCAUUGAAUUCGCUUUCCUGUCUUUAUGAUGCUAUUUUUUUAUUAUUAUUUGAACAAUUCAUUGUCAAUUUUCUUUGUUUGCUUCUUUUAAAAAAAAUGAAUGUGAGGUCUUUCUUUCAUACCUACUUUGCCAUUUUUCAUGCAUCUCGUGUUUGAUUAAUUUAAAUGAUAAAUAGUAAGAUGACAUACUCUAAACAAAAGGAAUGUUGAGCAUUACCUGGAUGAGAAUUUGAUAAAUACAAGGACCCUAAAGCAAGAACAAAGUUCAACAAGGGGGUAGGAAGGUGGUAUACGAGGUAUUUCGUUAAGCCUCGGACACAUGACGAGGUAUUUCGUUUAAAUUUCUGUUCUUUUUAAAUCAACUCAUAUUGCGAGAGGUGAGUUGAACCUCGGACACAUGCCGAGGUAUUUCGUUUAAAUUCCUGUUCUUUUUAAAUCAACUCAUAUUGCGAGAGGUGAGUUGAGCCUCGGACACAUGCCGAGGUAUUUCGUUUAAAUUUUUGUUCUUUUUAAAUCAACUCAUAAUGCGAGAGGUGAGUUGAGCCUCGGACACAUGCUGAGGUAUGUCGUUUAAAUUUCUGUUCUUUUUAAAUCAACUCAUAUUGCGAGAGGUGAGUUGAGCCUCGGUCAUGCCGAUGUAUUUCUUUUAAAUUUUUGAAAAUCAACUCAUAUUGCGAGAGGUGAGUUAAGCCUCGGACACAUGCCGAGGUAUUUCGUUUACAUUUCUGUUCUUUUUAAAUCAACUCAUAUUGCGAGAGGUGAGUUGAGCCUCGGACACAUGCCGAGGUAUUUCGUUUAAAUUUCUGUUCUUUUUAAAUCAACUCAUAUUGCGAGAGGUGAGUUGAACCUCAGACACAUGCCGAGGUAUUUCGUUUAAAUUUUUGCUUUUCAAAAAUCAACUCAUAUUGCGAGAAGUGAGUUGAGCCUCAGGUCACAUGCCGGGGUAUCUUUUCAAUUUCUGUUUUUCAAAAAUCAACUCAUAAUGCUAGAGGUGAGUUGAGCCUCGGGCCACACGCGGAGCUAUUCUCGAUUUCUAUUUUUCAAAUAAAAAGAAAAUUUUGGACAGUCGAACAAAAUUCAGUGCUUUUAAGUCUUUGCUCUAUCCCUGUUUCACAGCGAUGAGCAAAGAGGGGCAGCUGUAAUCACUGAAUUUUGUCCGGGAAUAAUUUCGUGUUUAAAAAAAUUAAAAAAAAUUUUAAAAAUAUUUGCAUUUUGACCCUUGAACUUUUCUAAAAUCACAUUUUGACCUCUAAUUUUUUUUCAAAAGUACAUUUCAACCCCUAAACUUUUCUAAAUUACAUUUUGACCCCUAAACUUUCUCAAAAUUACAUUUUGACCCCUAAACUUUCUCGAAAUUAUGUUUUGGCCUUAAAGAUUUUCCUACAUUUGCAGUUUAGUCCUUCUGGCAGCAACUUGCACACCUACCCCCGUGAUUUCCGGCCACCGGCCUAGGGCAUGGCCUCCCUCUCCCCUAGCCACCUACUACCUGCAAAAUGAAGCAAAAAUCCAUUAUAAAAGGGGUGUUUUACCCCUAAAAUCGAACACCCAAAAAACCAAAAAAAAAAGAAGAGAAAGUUUCAAAGAAAAAAGAAAAAAAGCUUUGAGAAAGAAAAAGAAAAGGAAAAGAAGAGAAGGGAGAAAGAGAGGCCGACCAUCGGCGAGCCACCGGAGGAGCGACGGCGGUGCAGCGGCGGAGUGAAGGAGGCCAAACGGAGAAGAAGAGAAAAGAAAAAGAGAAAGAAAGAAGAAAGAAAAAGAAAAAAGAGAAAGAAAAGAGAAAAAAAUUAAAAAUAAAAUAAAAAAUUUUCUACAUAGUCGGGUCGUCCGACCCGACCCGACCCGCGACCAGCAGCAGCCCAACCCAAGCAACCCAAAGUAAAAAAAAAAGCAAAAGCAAAAAAAAAAAAGAAGCAGGCCAACAGCAGCCCAAGUGCAGGCCCAAAAACAGUCAAACAGGCCUUACCCAGCGCCAGGCCCAACAGCAGGCCUAGCAGGCCAGCAGACCCACUCAACAGCCAGCCCAGCAAGCCAGGCCCACUCGCACCAGCAGCCCAGGCCAGCGCGCACCAGCCCAGCAGAGAGAAAAAAAAAGAAAAAAAGAGAGAAAAAAAAAGAAAAAAGAGAGAAAAAAUAAAAAGAAAAAAAAGAGAAAAAAUAAAAAAAAGGGGGAUUCAAUUUGUGUUACCCAUUCGGCGAAGCUCGUGUCUCGAGAUUUUUUUUCGGUAAUUUCGUUUUUUUAUUUUAAUUUAAUGCUCGUAUUUUUUUCGUUUUAAUAUUAUUAGUAUUUUAUGUAUUUUUGUAUUUUGGCAUUUAUAUUUUUAAUUUAAUUUAAUUUUAUUUUAUUUUAAAUACUUUUAAUAAAAAAGGCAACGAAUCGAUUUAACAUGAACUCGUUGAUUUCAUCUCUAUGUUGGAUGAAUAUCACCGGUUCGUGUUAAAAUCGAUACGCCCUUUUAAAAAUCGAAAAUAUUCAAAAAGUCUCAUAUUUUCAAUAAAAAAAUUCUAUUUUUCAAAAUUUUUCGUGUCUUCAAAAAAUUUUCUCAUGUUUCAAAAAAAAUAUAUUCGUGUUUUUAAAAAUAAGACAACGAAUCGAUUUGGUACUAAUUCGUUGAUUUCAUUGCUAUGUUGAGUGAAUAUCACCGGUUCGUGUUAAAUACGAUAGUGCUCAAUUAAAAAAUCGAAAAAUUUGUGUUUUAAAAAAUCUUUCCGUGGUUUCAAAAAAUAUUCGUUUUUUAACAAAAUAAAAUAAAAAAAAAAGAUUUCGUUUUUCCAAAUUCUCAUGUUUUCAAAAAAAAAAAAAUUCUAUUUUUCAAAAUUUUUCGUGUUUUCAAAAAUUUCUUGUGUUUCAAAAAAUCUUCGUGUUUUCAAGAUUUCGGUGUUUCAAAAAUUUUCAUGGUUUCAAAAAAAAAUUUCUCGUGUUUUAAACAUUUUUGCGUCUUAAAAUUUUUCGUGUUUUCAAAAAAAAUCUUCGUAUUUUCAAAAAAAUUUCGUGUUUCAAAAAUCCUCGUGUUUUCAAAAAUUUCGGUGUUUCAAAUAUUUUUGUGUUUUCAAAAAUUCUGGUGAUUUUAAAAAAAAAUUGUGUUUUCUAAAAAAUUUUCGUGUUUCAAAAAUUUUCAUGUUUUCAAAAAAUUCCCGUAUUUCACAAAUGUUCGUGUUUUGAAAAAUUUAUCGUUUUCAAAAACUGUCGUGUUUUAAAAAAAAUUCGUGUUUCUAAAAUUUUUGUGUUUCAAAAAUUUCGUUUUUUUUUAAAUUUGUGCUUCAAAAAUUUCGUUUUUUUAAAUUGUGCUCCAAUAUUCUUCGUUUUAAAAAAAAUUCUCGUAUUUUGAUCGGAUCGCAAUUAACUAUUAAAUUGAACUUGCAUUUUUGAAAAAUAAGACAACGCGCGUUUAACGAGAUACCAAUUUUAGGCGUCGCGAGGGUGCUAAUACCUUCCUCGCGCGUAACCGACUCCCGAACUCUAAUUUUCUCUGGAUUUUCACGUAGACCUAAAAUUACCUCUAUUUUAGAAAGAUUUAAAAAUAAAAUUUUCUCUUAAGAAGAGAAUUUAAUAGGUGUCCGAUCACACCUAGGAAAAAAGAUCGGUGGCGACUCCUUUUCCAAAUAAAAUCGAGAUUCAGUUUUCAAAUUCUCAAUAAUCACUUCGACUAGCGCCCGUACCCAAAAUUUUAGGUCGCUACGGACAGUAUGUACAAAUCUUGAUUGUACGUUUAUACGAAAUGAGAUCUUCAGGUGAUGGGUUACUUUCUAGCUUAAAACAUUUAUCUGUCUUAAAAAAAUCAGUCCACUGGCCACAUGGCAACCAGGUGGAGAGUAAAUCUGAGCGACAUAGACGGGUGUCCCUGUAAUAUGGAUUUUUGCCCUAAUAGAGGUAGGGUCGAGCCCUCUCUUUAUUACGGUGGUGUAGAGAGCCAUUCAUUUCUUCUGUAUUCUCAACUUACGAAGGAAUUUAAUGACCACCAUGUAGGUCUCAAAAUCAUUUUUUGAAUCCCAUCCGUGUUAGAUACCUCACGGCUAGAGAAACUUUUCAUGCUCUACACAAUGCUCGAAUCACAUUAUCAUCAUUUACUAAAUCUCGUGCAAUUUGUGUGCAAUUUUUUUUAGUAAAACUUUUGUGCAAUUUUAAUACGUUUGAAAUAAUAAUAAUUUUGCUUGAAAUUUUAAUAUUCGGAACUUUUUGAAAAUUUUAUUAAACCCUCAAAAUUUAAUUUCAAAAAUAUGUCAUACCCAAACAUUCAUAUAUAAAUCCAAUCAUGUAUUAGAUAUUGAUAUAAGAGUAAAUGAUUUGCAUUACUUAAAUAUUUAGUAACAUCAAAUAUAAAUUUCAAACAUCAACAACCCUUUAAAAAAAAGUAACAACAAUCUCUGCAAUCAACCCAACAGACUCACACAGAACGACGUCGUGUAUGCCAGGAGAUCUUCUUGUAAAAGUUAAACCCCACAACCAAGAAGAGAAUAAUUUUGAGCAAGUUAGCUUGGAGUCCCUAUAAUAUGGACUCCCCUCGUGAAUAGGGGUAAGGUCGAACCCUCUCUUUAUCACGGUGGAGUAGAGAGUCAUACCCAUCUUCUAGAAUCUCUUCUCACAAAGGUAGCUAAUGACCAUCGCGUAGGUUUGGGCAUCAUUUUUCAAUCCCAUCCGCGUUAGUUACUUUAUUUAUUUUAUUAUUGUAAUCUGAUUAUUAAUAUUAUUACCAUUUUUAUAAUCAAUUCAUGUCACAUUAAUUUUCUAAUACAGAAAUUAAAUAAUAUAAUAAAAAAUUCGAGAUCCAUAAAUAAUAACAAAUUUGGAAGAAACAUAUUUGGUGGAUCCAUAAAUCUCAUUAUUGAUUAUUUUAAUUUUAAAAAUAUUUUAUUUAUACAAUAUUAAAAAAGGGUUGAAGAAUAAUAAAAUUAGAAUUCAUGUUAUUACAUGAAAUAUAAAAUUUUGAUUUUGAUAAUAAUCAAAUAGAUACAUGAUAAACCUAAAGUAAAUAAUUAUUAGACUACCAUAAAUAUUAUCUGGGCCGUUCACUCAUGUCAAAAUUUAGUACUUUAAUAAAUAAUAAUUAUAUUAUUUAAAAAAUAAAUAUAUUUAUUAAAGAAACUAUGUAAAAUGAUAAAGUUAAAGGUUUAAAUUUUAAUUUUGUGGAUUUUUAUUGAGUUUAGAUAAUAAAAAAAGAACAUAUUUAAAAUAAUGUAUAUAUAAUUUAUUUUGUGAUUUUAAAAGAUAUGAUUAUGAUAUCACACAAUUUCUAUUUUUUUUCUUUUUCUUUUUUUAACAAUAAAUUGGUGACACCGGUGUUAUUUUAUUACGGUCUCAGUCUACUAGUGUCGAAGAAACAAAGCUUAUUAUCAGAGAGAAGCAGCGUUGCCGGAAAAUGGCUUGCCUCAAUGCCCGACGAUCUCUAUCCACCCUUUUAAGCCGCGCCCUAACUGCUUCUUCUUCUUAUUCCUUUCUUUCCCAUUCUCACCUCACUGUAAAUAUUAGAACAAAGUGAAUGUAAAAAUUUAUAAAAUAUAUUAUAAGUUAAAUCUAAUAUUUUUAAUUAAAAUUUACAUUUCAUAUUAUAACAAUGAAAUAAUUUAAAUAAUAAAAUAAUAAAAAUAAGAUAUCUUAUUUUAUGGGGAUGCUAAUUGUUAAUAUAUUUAUUUAUUACGUGAAAAAAUCAAGAUGCUAAUCAUACAUAUAAUUAUUCAUUAUUUGAAGAAAAACUACAAUAUAAAAUUGUAAAAAUUAUUCGAUAAUUAAAAAAUUAAUUGUGUCGAAAUUGGAUAUGUGAAAGAUUUAAAUAUUUUUCAAGUUCUUUCUUAUAUUUCUUGAUUAGUUGAAAUUAUUAUUUUUUAAGUUGGUUUGUUUUUAAAGAAGUUGCUAUCGGAUGCUGAAUAAAAAAUUAGAAAAAUGUUACUGAUUUGCUUCCUUCAACACAACCCAACUAAACAGAACUAAUCACCGCUUUGAGUUAAAUCACAUUCAUACCAUCUAAAUAUUUAGAUGGUGAGAUACGUGGUGGAGCAAAAAGAGAGAGUACCCUGCCCUUCAUUGUGAAAGUUCUUAUCACGAAGAUACUUAAUGAUCCAGGUGUAACUUUCAAGGUCAUUUACGAGUCACACUCGGGUUACAUAAUGAACGGCUUCAUUGAGUUUUCCUGCUUUAUUAAAUGAAUUAAUUAAAACUCUAGAUUCAAUAGGACUAGGAUGCAUAACUAACUUGAUCUUCUUGCCAAAAACGAUUAACGCAUAAUGAAGUAGAUUCAUUUGACAGUAUGCACAAAUCUCAAUAGUAAAUUUAUACAAAAUGAGAUAUUUUAGGUGAUGGGCUACUUUUCGGCUUAACAUAUUUAUCUAUCUUACAAAAGUCAGUCCACUGACCACCUGGCAACCAGGGGGAGAGCAAAUUUGAGCUACAUAGAUGGACAUCUCUGCAACCAAGCCUUACCAUUACAAGAGAAAAGAACAUUUUUAGUAAUGCACAGUACACUUACAAUUAGACACACACAAAAACAAAAUGAAAGCUCCUACCCCUAUUUAUAGAAUUUAAUGACUGUUGGAUUGUUGACACAUAUCAACAUCCUUACCAUUAAUUUCACAAAUAUCUAAUAACUACAAUGUUUAUAUACAAUAUCUAGUCUUCUAGGUGAUAUCUUAUUUUCUAUUUUAUAUUCUAGAAUAUUUCAAAAAAAAAACCAUCUCUUAAAAGUUAAGUUUGACUUUUAUUUAGAGGUUACAUUGACUUUCAACAAAAACUAAUGUAAACGACGUGAUCUUAUCGACAUUAUCUUAUAAAAGUGAAGUUUUAGGAACUCUAUCAGACUGAAGGGUAAUGAUGACUGGUUUGCUGUAAUGAGUCUCGGUUAAAACAUAUUUGGUGGAUUCAUAAAUCUCAUUAUUGAUUUUUUUAAUUUUAAAAAUAUGUUAUUUAUACAAUAUUAAAGAAGGGUUGAAGAAUAAUAAAAUUUGAAUUCGUGUUAUUACAUGAAAUAUAAAAUUUUGAUUUUGAUAAUAAUCAAAUAGAUACAUCAUAAACCUAAAGUAAAUAAUUAUUAGACUACCAUAAAUAAUUAUCAGGGCCAUUCAUGCAUGUCAAAAUUUAGUACUUUAAUAAGUAAUAAUUAUAUUAUUUAAAAAAUAAAUAUAUUUAUUAAAGAAACUAUGUAAAAUGAUAAAAUUCAAGGUUUAAAUUUUAAUUUUGUGGAUUUUUAUUGAGUUUAGAUAAAAAAAAAUAAGAACAUAUUUAAAAUAAUGUAAAUAUAAUUUAUUUUGUGAUAUCACACAAUUUCUUUCUUUUUCUUUUCUUUUUUAACAAUAAAUCACAAAGCUUAUUAUCAGACAGAAGCAGCGUUGCCGGAAAAUGGCUUGCCUCAAUGCCCGACGAUCUCUAUCCACCCGUUUAAGCCGCGCCCUCACUGCUUCUUCUUCCUUUCCUUUCCGUUCUCGCCUCACCGCUGCUCUCCUCAACAAAACCCCAAUUUUUAUCCCCGUAGCAACCAAAAUCCUGACCCGAACCAAGACAUCCGGGUCUGGCUACUCGCCUUUGAACGACCCAUCUCCUAACUGUAGUAGCCCACGACCAUCGGUUCUCCUAGAUGACAGUUCUUAUGAGCAUUGGCUUAUCAUUUUGGAAUUCCCAGAACGCCCGAAACCUUUGGAAGAAGAAAUGAUGGAUGCCUAUGUUAAAACCCUUGCUUCUGUUGUCGGCAGGUUUUUAAAUAAUAAUUAUUCCUUCAAAUUCCAUUAAAUCUUGGUUUUAUUUUCUUUUUUGUUUGUUCUGAUCUUGUAGUGAAGAGGAAGCGAAAAAGAGAAUAUACUCUGUUUGUACAACGAUCUAUACUGGGUUUCGUGCUUUUUUCUCUGGGUAUCUGAUUGAUGAACUUGGAGGUAAUUUCAUUUCCCAUUUACUACGGUUUAGGGUUUACAUGGUUUUCCCUGUUUCUAGUGUAAUUGGAACAAGAAAUGGGUUUUUUGAAACAAUAGGUUUUCACUUUUUAGAAAGAAAAAAGAAUUAACAUUUGUUUUCAUUGUGUGUGAUGUGUUGUUAGCUGUUUUAGGGUUUUAAACCUCCCGAUGUGAUUGCUUUCUAUACUAAUUUAUUAGGGUUUAAACGGUUUUCCCCAAUUGCUUUUGUGAGUGUUUUUGAACUUACAAUUGAUGAGGCAUCCACUUUGUUCUAAAAUCAAUUGGCAUUAUGUUUCUACAGAGUUACCUCGUGUACGCUAGGUUUUACCAGUUCGGUGUUGUAGCCGAGAUCAUUAUUAUGCAGGUGGGUAGCUUAAAGAUCUUACAGCCAUUGAAGUUCCCACUGUCAACAAAUUUAAUCUCUUUUUUAUUGGUGGAUUGAUUGCCAGGGGAUCUGUUUGUUGAUGGGAAAGUCCUUCAUAGACCGCAAUUUCCAUGGGUUGGUGUUCCAAAUAGCAGCCACAGAGUUGGAGGAUGUGGUGAUCAUGAGCUUUGGCUUAUCACUUUCGAAUGCCGGGAAGAACCUUCCUUAGAAGAAAAGAUUGAUUUCUAUGUUAAAACUCUCGCUUCUGUUGUCGGCAGGUUUUUGAUUCCUUCAAAUAUGCGUUUUUUUUCCUGGAAUUUGAGAAAUGGGUUUUAUUUUUCUUUUUUGUUUGUAGUGAAGAGGAAGCGAAAAGGAGAAUAUACGCUGUUGGUGGUAGACUAACGAGGUAUACUGGGUUUCGUGCUGUUAUGUCUGAGGAGAUGGCUUAUGAACUUGAAGGUAAUUGCAUCUCCCAUUUAUUAGGGUUUACAUGGUGUUCUCAUUUAUUAGGGUUCAGUGUUUAGAAUUGGCGUUAUGUUUGUCUAGGGUUACCUCUUGUAGAAGGCGUUUAUCGGGAUUCAGAGGUCGAAUAUGAAGAAGAUUUUGAAGGAGGUGGGUAGUUUAAAGAAUUCAAGAUGAUGUUUGUUGCUUACUGCCAUUGUCAACAAAUUUAAUCUCCUUUUUCUUAUUAGGCCAUUUGCUCGUUGAUGGGAAAGUCGUUCUUAGACCAACCUCUUUUAGCAUGAAACGACUAGAGGUGGGGAAACUGCCGGGAGUAUUACAUUUCCUGCAAGACCAGAUCCUUGACGUUAUUUAUUGGGAAGAAACCAAAAGCAGCAGCGGUGGCAAAAACUGAUCUCGUGCAGGAUUACAUCUUUUCCGAUAUUUAUAAUCGUAAUGAUUGAUAAUUAUUUGAAUUAUUAACUCGUGCUAUUUAGGUCAACAGAAGCCCUAAUCACCAUUCCUAAUAAAUAUUAACUUUAUUUACUGUUGUUAUUAUAUACAAAGUAUAUAAUUUUGAUUUUGAUAAUAAUUAUUGGUUAUUUAUAAAUUUAUUUUAAUAUCUUUAAUGAGUGGAUUAAUACCCAUCAAUUAGUAGAGAAACAUAUUUUAGAGGCCAAGUCGAUUUGAUGGUUGUUAAAUAUUAGAUAAGAAAAUUGUUUGAGUUUUGAUCCAUAGAUUCAUAAUGUUUAAAGUUGUUUUAUUAAGAAAAAAACUAUAGAAAAGAAAAUGAAUUAGAGCUUUUGAUUGUUCCUUUCGAGUAAAGGUAUUGAAUUUUUUGAUCUUUGUGUACAUGGAAGGGAAAUAAUUAUUCUUAAUAAAAUUUUCUAGAAACGCCUUACCUUUACAAAAUAGCGAUUUUGGAUCUAACAAAUUUUUAUAUACGACAAUAAAUACAACUUGCAAACUCAUAAGAAAGGUGUCACUAUUAGUCUUGUUGGAAAUAUUAAUUAUGUAUGUUGUGCAUGUGGAAAAUCGAACCUUUUAACUAAAGAGUUAUAUGCCUUACCUUAGCAUACCUGGUACUUGGCUAUCACUUGGUUAGGGUUCAAAUUCUAUGAUGUUCAUAAAUUCAUGAUAUUUAAAGUUGUUUUCUAGAAAAAAAACUAUAGAAAAAAAAAUGAAUUAGAGCUUUCGAUUAGUGUAGGCGAUGAGAAUAGAAAAGACCAUACAACAAUGAUUUCAACAACUCAGCAACUUAAAUAAAAAAUUUUGAAUAAUUAAAUAAUAUUUUGUAACUUUUUAAAGUUGAAUAACCGACACAUAAUUUUACUUAUAGUUUAAUGACUUUGAAUGUAAUUUAAAUUAUUUAAAAUAAAUAGUAUCAUUAAAUAUAAAUAUCAUAAAUCUAAAAGGUAAAUAGUAAAAUUUGAAAAUCAAUAAACUAGUGUAAAAUUUUUAACGGAUGAUAUAAUUUUAAAAAACAAAUAAAUUUAUCAAGUGAUAAAUAUAUCUUAUUAAAAAUAUUAGAUCACGAUAAAACAAUUAUUUAAAAGUAUAUAUUUAUUAAAAAUUAUGUCAAAUGAUAAAGUUGAAGAUUUAAAUUUAAAUUUUUGCUUAUAUUUUUUUGAGUUUAGAUAAAAAUAUAAGAAGAUAAAAACAUAUUUAUAUAAUAUAAUUUAUUUUGUGAAAAGUAUGAUUUUUAAUUUUUUUUAAAUUGAAUGAUUGUAUAGAUAAAUUAUUGGUUUAAUAUAUUAUUUGGUACCCGAGUUUGAUACAUUUUCUUAAUGUGGUACCUAUCUUAUUUUUUUGAUUCAAUUUAAUAUACGAAUUUAAUAAAAAUUAUACGUUUUUUAAUAGUCUAAUAUAAUGAUUUUAAUUUUUUAGAAAUAUAUUGUGCUAAAUAUGAAUAAAGAUAAGAUAUGAUACAAAAUUUCUAGAUUUUUUAACAAUAAACCGGUUAUACUUUAAUUUCUAAUACAAUUACAUCCUAUAUUUUUAUAAUUAUACUCACGGCAUCAACGUAAUUAAACCACAUACAUCACCACAUAUAUAUAUAUAAAAGAUCGAAGGCGGCGAAUCUUAUCUUCCCCAGGAGUAGGGAAACAGAUUUAAGCCACUAGUCCUAUCUCCCUGGUCAGCAGUGGGAUAGGUUGAAGAUUACGAAUCUUAUCUUCCCCAGGAGUAGGGAAUCAGAUUUAAGCGACGAGUCUUACUUCCCCGACAUCACAGCUAAGCAAAUUAAAGUUACGAGUUACAAAUUCUAUCUCCCCUACGUUGUGGUGGAGUAGACCGAUGCACCAAUUCCUAUACCUCUGAGAAUGCAGUAGGAUAGAAUGAGGCUACGUGAAGAAAAGAGCACCAAGGUCCAACAUGACCGGGCAAAAUUGGCCAUUUUAAGUCUUUGCUCCAUUCCUGUUACAUGACAACGAGCAAAGAGGGGCAGCUGUAAUGGCCCAAAUUUGCCCGGCCCAAAUCAGAAAUAAAUAAACAAAAAAUAUAAACCAAUAAAAAAUAGUCCAUUUUAAAUGUCCAUUUACACAGGGCUUAAUAUGGCCCAAACUAAACACGACCCAACUAAAAUCAAACCCAAAUACCCCUAGCCCAAAUACCCUUAGCCCAAAACCCCAAACAGAAACCUUAGGGUUUUUGAGAUCUCAGCGUCGUUGCCCUCACAUGCCCCAUGAACAUAGCCUCCAGCGCCUUCAGUCUUCCUCUCUACGCGCGCCACGCCAACACCUCCGUACGCGCCUCCGUACACUGUACUUGCAAGUGAAACAAAGACAAAGCAACACACAAAGAAACAGAAAAGGAAGAAAAGAAAAUAACAAAAUAGCAAAUAGAAAAAAUAGAAGAAAAACAGAAGGAGCAGAGAGAGGGGUUAUUUAUUUUUCUUUCUUUUUUCGAUUCGGCUAUAUAAAGCCAGAUACACCAUUGUAAAAGGGGAUCCCAUUUUUGAAAAAAAAUCAAUAAAAAAGAAAAGAGCAUAUAGCAGGAAGUCGAAGGUGAUUUCAGUAUUUUUUAUAUUAUUUUUGUUUUCUUUUUCUUUUGUUUUCCUUUCUUUUUUCAUGGUUUUCAUGUGUUAAAACGAAAGAGAUAAUAAACAAAAGAAGAGUACACUUACCUGGUGGCCGACUUGCCUUCUACUCCGUCGCAAUCGGAGCCGGAUGGAGGUUAAAGGCAUGAAACAGUGCGGAAUUGAGAGGAGAGUGCUUAGGUUCUUGUUUCAAAGGGCAGAUCUGGUUUAGUUUAGGGUUUCUUUUUUAUUUUUAUGUUAAUUAUGGAAACGGCUCCAAACGGUACCGUUUGAAGUUUCCAUAAUAGCUUCCAAACGGUACUGUUUUGGUGGCCAUGACCCGCGCUUGAACCCUACCCGGAUGAGGCUAGAUCCGUGCAUUUUGGAUCGAAGGGAAAUUUGCGCAAUGAGCCCCUCACAUUCUGUUUCGUUUUAAUGCAGUUUUUUUUCUUUGAUUUCUUUUAAUUGUUACCUCGCAUUUGAUUCCAUUCUCAUUUAGAUCCACAGUUGGACGGCGUCGUUUUCACUGAUCGGAUUUGUGUUUAAUUUCUGUUUUAGUCCCUCUGGUAUGCAAUGGUUUUCAAUUUGAUGGUCUUCAUAUUUAUUUCAAAGUAGACCCUAAUAUUUUGUUUUAUUUUUGAAAUUGUCCUUGUUUUUACUAUUUUUUAUUUUUUUAAUUAUAAUACUAUUAUUAUUAUUACUACUAUUACUACUAUUAUUAUAGGUGUUAUUAUGGUAUUAGUUUGUAUAUUUAUUUACUUUUACUUUAUCUUAUUAUGUAUUUUUUUAAAUUCCUUUAUCAUGUAUUAUUAUUUAUUCAAUUAAAUAAUGUAUUAUUUUAAAUAUUCUUUACGACUAAUUUGUACACAUUUUUUAUAAUUUUAUUUUACAAUAUAUUCAUAAAUUCCAUUUUUAUAUAUUUCUAAUUUUAUUUAUACAAUAAUAUUUUCAUAAUUCCAUUUCAUGCAUAUAUACAAUAUUUAACUAUUUUUAUUAUACACAUGUAUGUACAUAAUAUGCUAUUAAUUUCAUUUUUUUACCUAUUUUCUAUAUAUAUAUUUCAUUUCUUUAAAAAGUCUCAAUUUUAUUUUACUCAUUCCAACCUUUUACAUACUAUCGUAUAUUAUUAUGAAGUUUUUCACUCCCUAUGUAUUACUUACUUUAAAUUAAUAUGUGUAUAUUAUUUUAUAUUUUUUAAUUUUCUUUUUAUAUAAUAUUUGCUUCAAAAUUCAUCUAAAUAAUAUUAUUUAUGUGUUUGUCUUAUUAAAUUUAUUUUGAAUCUAUCACAAACUCAUAUAUGGUUGAUUUUAAAACUUUUGUACAUAUAAUCUAUUGACCAUAAUUUAUCCUCUUGUUUUCUUUUUAUUUUAGUAUAUCAUUUAAAAUUGAUUAUUAAUUCUUUUUGGGUUUUUGAAUAUUGAUAUUGAUACUUGUACGAUUAAAACUAUUGCUGCUAUUCUUAUUUGUAUUACCUUUCGCUUGCUUGUUAAUUCUUAGAGUAUGUUUGAGUUGCUAUUUAUCUUUUAUAUUGUAAUUCAAUCAUGUUCCAUUUGUAAAAAAUUUGCAUUUUAAAGCAAUCACUCUACUUCAAUUUUUUCAAGAAGGCCUAGUGUUCAUAGCUCUCGAGAAAAUUGUGCCCUAACUUACUGGGCUUUAAUUCUUCUCGAUGAAUUGGAAUAGCCAAGUGCUUGUUUUGGUAAAGCCCUACAACUUUAAAAUGAAGCUUCUGAGACUUCAAAAUGUUGGAUCCUAACUUACUGGAUGUAAUAUUUUGUUAUCUCGAAAUAAAAAUAAAGGCAAUAUUCGAUAUUUAAGAAUUUUGUGAAAUCGAACCCUAACUUACUGGGUUUUGAUUUUCUCAUUUGACCCAAAUAAUCAGAUAUCCUUCUCAAAAUGCAUAGGUUUUAAAAGUCAAAAGAUAAACUUAAUUUUGAGGAUUUAAAAUGUUGCACUCUAACUUACUGAGUGUGACAAUUCAUUUCUUUGAAAUAAGUGAAUCUCAUCAUCCAAUUUGGUUUAUUCAAAUUUAAACUUCAAAGGAUCGUAUUUUAAAAUCUUUUUAAAAUUUCGACUCCAAGACAUUAAACAAUCAACUUGGUACCAAUUUUGGGCGUUACGAGGGUGCUAACACUUCCUCAUGCGUAACCGACUCCCGAACCUACUUUCUCAAAAUUCGUAGACCUAAAAUCAUUUUCAAAGUGAUCCGAUCACACCUCAUUAAAAGAUCGGUGGCGACUCCCAUUUUCGUUUUUAAGUCGACAACUAAAUUUUUAUUUUUAUAAAAAAUGGUUUCGACAAAAAAUGCAUCCUAUAUUUUUAUAAUUAUACUCACGGCAUCAACGCAAUUAAACCACAUACAUCACCACACACACACACACAUAUAUAUAUACACACACAAUGUUUUUGAGACUCAAGAUAAAUAUUAAAUACAAGUAUGUGUUUGAUGUAAUGAUACUCACUCUUUUCAAAAAAAAUCUUUUUCAUGUAUUCAAAGAUAGGUGUUGUGUCGUCCCUUACAUGGCUCACACGUGGUAAAUUAUUUUGUAAAUUUUAAAUUUUAAAAUAAUUGUUCAUAAUUUAUUUUGUUAAAUUUAAGUCCAUAACAAUGAUAUCAAACAUUUUUAUUUCAAAUGAUCAAAUCAACAAAUUUCAUAAUAAAAAAUUUAAUUGAGUUAAUAAUUGGACUUUAAUUUUGAAAUAUGAAAAAUAAAAUCAGCAAAUUCUUAAAAGUAUAUAUAUAAUGACUAAAUUGAAAAAAGAAAUCUAAAAAAACAAAAGACAAAACGUGCGUUAAGGAUAAAUUUAUAAUUCACCAAUGCAUUUUGAUGAAUUUUUAAAAAAAAAUAUUUUAAGAUAUAUCAUUUAAUAGAAGAGUUAUAUCUUGUUUAAGUAUAUAUAUGUAAAAAAAUUAUUUAAAAUUAAAUUAUUAUUUUUGGUAAAUUUUCAAUUAUGCUUUGAGAAAUUAAAAUAAUUACAUUUAGAUUGGGAUAUAUAAAACCUAAAUAAUAAAUAAACAAAAAUCAUUACAAUUUUUUUUAUUUUUUUUAAAAAAUAUUAUUAUGUUGUAAGAAAAUAAAUCAAGUGUGAUUUUGGAUGGGUGAUGGCUGUGGUACAAUGAAACUUUUUAACUCACAGUUAUAGUGAUUAAUUUCACCACCACUAUUUUUAACCUUAUCAAAAGUAAACGCACCAACAAUGUAAAGGUACACUGAAUGUUUAAUAUAGGCGUAGUGUAAUAGUCCGAUUUUAGGUCUAGUCGGAACAGUGGUUUUGAGACCACAAAUCCGACGAGGAAAAAAAAUGUAAUGCCCUGAAUUUUCAAAGGUGUCAGAACGGUGAUUCGAGAUCACUAAAUUUGACAAAUGAGUAGAAAAUAUUAUUAAUUUAGUGAGUAUAAGUUAAAUGUGAAGUUAGGAAAAUUUUUGAAAUAGUGAAUAGUACACUAGAAAUAGAUAUUAAAAUAAUUAGAAUCGAAAAUGAGGUAUCGAGACCUCGGGGAUUUUAAACCGAGCCAUAAAUAUUUUUAUAAAUAUUUAUGGAGUGUUAAAAAGUUAGUAUUAAAGUUUCGUUAAGAAAUUUUAAAGUUCCGAUAAUUAAUUGAACAAAAAGGACUAAAUUCUUAUAUUAACUUCAAAUUGUGUCAUUCAUUUUCAAAAUAUUAUUCAUUUAUAAAUCGUUAUUCAAUUUCAAAAUGUUUUUUUAUUUUUAUUGCAGAAGCUUUUAAACAGUUUGCUUAUUCGAGGUGUUUUUGAUAAAACAUUAAUUUAAUUUGAAAACCCGAGUUUUACCUAACACUAGCAGAUUUAAAUCAUAAAACCGUAUAAAAUCCAAAUUUUAAACCAAAAUUUAUAAAUGCCAUAAUUACAGCAAAAUACUCCCAAAUAAAAGUAAAAUCAUAAAUAGGUAGUAAACAGUGUAAAAGAAGUCGUAUGGCCACCAUUGAGUCAUCCGCUGCACCGAUUCGCCUAUAUCUGGGGAUUACCUGUACAGAUUAAACAGAAAGUGUGAGUUUAUGCAAAGUCAGUGUGUAAUCCCCAUACAAAUGAACAGACAGUAAACAAAUAAUCACAGUCUGGGCUUAAGCUUUUUUCAGUAUCAAUAUCAGUCCAGUUUGGGCCUUAGCCCAUCUUAGUACAAAAACAGUUAUGCAGUAGGGCUUUAGCCUAUCAUAGUAUCAGUAGCAGUAACAGAUAUGCAAUCACAAAAAUCCUACCCAUCCAGCCUCUACAUACCAUCUCCGUCCAACCCUACACUCCAUGUGGGGAUAUAAUCAACCCACCCGUCCCUACACUCCAAGCAGUACUGAAUGCGGCACUAGAAAGUAGUUUGCAGCUGAGCUGCUAGUAAAUUAGGCUCGAGGCCUUUCAAUACACUUCCCCCGAACAAUAUAAUCCCCCAACCCAGUGCAAUGCAAUAUACAAAUAUGACAUGCUAUAACAUAAUAUCACACAUGUAAACAGGGCAUACAGUAUCAAAUCAGUAGGACAUCAUCAUGCUUAAUCAUAUCAGUCAUACAGUCAUUUUAGUCAAUUAGGGGUCUAGAUAAACUUACCAAACCUACAGUAGGUUCACAGUCGACUUGAGCGACCCGUACAACCUUAUCAGUCAAAUAGUGAAAAUGGGCCUACAAGCCCAUGAUGUUCGCCCAUGUGGGCCCACAUACUCAUGUGGCCCAGAUGACCUAAAUUGUUCAUAUGCGUUUCCACUAUUUAUUUAUAUGAUCCUUCAAAGCUGUCUACUUGAGUACUAUUACUAAAUUAUUUGUAUCUUAAUCUACAGAAUCCUGAAUUAAGAUCUGUAAAUUUUUCGUGAAACCAGAUUCACAUAUCUUCUUACCAUAAAAUUUUCAGACUUAUUGGUUUAGCUAAUAAGUACAGUUUAUUCUUUAAAGUUUCCCCUGUUUUGUUGUUUAACAAUUUUAAUCUUUCUGCACUAAAAAUUAAUUAUCUUCUCGUACAGAAUUCAGAUGAUGUUCCUGUUUGUUCUUAUGAAAAUAGAUUCAUUUAGGAUUUUAAACAUAUAAAUUCUAACCAUAAUUAUUUUUAUACAAUUUUUAAAAUUUUUCCAAAAUCAGGACAGGGGAUUCUGAAAUCAUUCUGACAUUGUCUCAUUAAAAUCCAAAUAUCUCAUAAUAUGAAAUUCUUUUUCUUACUUCGUUUAUUCUAUGAUAAACUAGACUCAAAUAUCUUUAAUCUCAUAUUCUUUGCAUCCUCUAAUUUGAUUUCCACAAUUUUUGGUGAUUUUUCAAAUUUAGCCUACUGCUGCUGUACAAACAGUAAGCAAUUUCGGCUUUUCGUCGAAUCCCUUAUUUUUGUGUUUCGGGUACACACUUGGUAUUGUUUCGCUGAAAAUAUGCUCCCAAGCACUCCAAGACCUAAAAAUAAAUAAUUAGAGCCCAAUUUAGAUCACUAACGAAAACUCACAACUGAAAAUUGUCUACAUCAAAAUCGAUAGCGAACCUAAACACUUACCGGCAACAAACCCAAAUUUCUAACACUCAAUUUGCUUGUGAAGCCGCAAUUGAUUUUUUAUUUUUGCCUAAACCAAGAGAGCCAAAAUAAUUCUUUUUAGGAAUUAGCUAAGAAACAAUAAAAUAGAGGCAGACAGAUACUUACAGAACGAGUGUAUACAAUUGCUGGCUCGAAAGUAGGCAAGUAGAAAAAUCAAACAAACAGGGUGGACUAAGGAGCAAAAAUUCGGCAAAGCAAAGAAAAAAUCGAAAGAGAUGUGGGGAGAAAACGUCAAAAAAAUGGAGAGAAAAACGACUCGUUUUUUUUUUGAAAAAGGAAAAAAAUGAUCAGAUUUUGGAUAAAAAUGAUCAGAUUUUGGAUAUAUUCCCCUAUAAUCCCCUAAUUCACUCCUAAAAUCGCUCCCUCACUUUGCACUACACAUCCACCACCCAGAAACCCAGUUCAACACAACUCUUGCCGAAAUUAGGAGGAAAAAAAAACCCUUACUAUCCCAAAGAUUCAAACCCAUGACCUUCACCAUAAUAACACACCAUUUAACCACUAAAUCAAGAAACCCAUUUUGAUGUAAUUUACCCAACAAUCAAAUAAAAGCCUACUAAAUAAGAGUAAGGUCCAAUUCAAUCAAAAUACCAAAAUUUUCCCAAGCAAAGGCUUGAACUUGGGAUCUCCAAAGCACUCCCAGAACACAUAACCAAUAAAGUUGACAGAUAUUUGUACCAUAUUUUUAAAAUAACGAAAUUAGAAAUUUUCGGAAGUUACAGGUAGUUUAAAGAAUUCAAGAUGAUGUUUGUUGCUUACAACCAUUAUCAACAAAUUUAAUCUCCUUUUUCUUAUUAAGAAUUUGCUUGUUGAUGGGGAAGUCGUCCUUAGACGAACUUUAUCGAGAAUGCAACAACCAGAGUUUGGGAGACUGUCGCGAUUACUAGAUUUCGUGUUGGACUAGAUACUUACCGAUAUUUAUAUUCGUAAAUUGGAAGAAACCGAAGCCGACAGCAGUGGCAAAACUAAAGUCAGGCAGGACUAGAUCUUUUUCGAUUCGUAAUUUGGAAGAAACCCAAACCAACAAUGGUGGCCAAACUGUCAUGAUUACUAGAUUUUGUGGGUAUAGGACUAGAUCUUUUCCAAUAUUUAUGUUCGUUAAUUAAUUCGUGUUAUUUAGGUCAACAAAAACCCUAAUCACCAUUCCUAAUAAAUAUUUGUUGUUAUUAUAUAAAUUAUAUAAUUUUUAUUUUGAUAAUAAUUUAAUAAAUACAUAAUAAAACUCAAGUAGUUCUAUAAAAAUAUUUUGUUAGUUAUUGUAUGACAUAGAAUAUUAUUGACUAUUUAUAAAUUUAUUUUAAUAUCUUUUAUGACAAUUUUAAAUUUUCGCUAAUGAGUUUCAAGUGGUGAUUUAACGAUUAGUACAGUUGAUCAAUAUUCAUCAACUAGUAGAAAAAUAUAACUUAGAUCCAAGUCGAUCUGAUGAUUAGAGAUAGGAUAAUAAAAUUGUUUGGGUCUUGGUUCAUAGAUUUAUGAUGUUCAAAGUUAUUUUCUAAAAAAAAAAACUAUAGAAAAGAAAACGAAUUAGAGGUUUCGAUUGGUGUAGGUGAUGAGAACAGAAAAGACCGUACAACAAUGAUUUUAACAACUCAAUGACUUAAAAAAACCUUUUGAAUAAUUAAAUUAUAUUUUGUAAUUUUUUAAAGUUUAUGUUUCAGUCACUAGGAUAGUAAGUUUUUUCUUUUUUAAAGUUUGGCUAAUGAGCUUCAAACGGUGAUUCAACGAUCGGUACAGUUGAUCAGUACCCAUUAACUAGUAGAAAAAUAUACUCUAGAUCCAAAUUGAUAUGAUGGCUAAUGUUAGAGAUUGCAUAAGAAAAUAAUUUAGAUUUUAGUUUAUAAAUUUGUUCAAAGCUAUUUUAUGAAAAAAAUGAAUUAAGUUUAGGUGAUGAGAACAAAAAAGGUCAUACAACAAUGAUUUUAACGGUCUAAUGACUUAAAUAAAAACUUUCAAAUAAUUAAAUAAGCAUUUUAAUGACAUGUAAUUUAAAUCAUUUAAAAUAAAUAGUAUUUGUUAAAUAUAAAUAUCAAAUAAUAGAAUUUGAAAAUCAAUCAACAAGUGUAAAACAAUGAGAUGGAUAUAUAUAGGAUGCAAGCACAAAUAGUAAAAAUAUUGACUUAAUUAGUUCUCUUUCAAAUUUAAAAUUAUCAUUAAAAAAAAAGUUGGAAGUUCUCUCAACAUGUCUCAGGUGUAACACCCCCUAACCCUAAACCGUCGUCGGAACAGGGUUACGGAGUAUUACCAGACAUAUCCAACAAUUUACUAAUAAUUCACAAAUCAAUAACAUAAAUAGUAUAAUUUAAUUAUUAAGUUCCUAUAAUGAACCCUCGAGGUCCAAAACACGUAUUUUUGUAAAGAGAGACCAAUUUGCUCAUUUUUAAAUUUGAUAGGGACCAAACUGUAUUUAUACUAAUCUGUUAUUCGAAUUAUUUGAGUUAUUCAAAUUGUAAAAAUUUAACUCGACUCGAAUUCGAAAUUUAAAAUUUCUUAUUCGAGUUGACUCAAAUAAUUUGAAUAACUUGAUUUUGUUAACUCAAAAUUUAAAUUUAUUUUCGUUUUUUCGAAUUAAAUCAAAAUUUAUUCCACCGUAAUUAGAUAUAAUCAUAGUAAUUGAGUUAUUUGAAUUAUUGUUCGCUAUUGGCCCUUAAUGAACCUUCUCUCUCCCCUUGGGGUGCAUGCAUGGGCGUAGACACAAAUACAUCAAAAUUUUGAAGAUUUGUGAUAACCGUCAUAGUGGAUCCCAAUCUUCCAACUAACAUCGACCAAAGCCUUUUAGGUAGCAUGUCAUCUUUAGAGCACCUUUUUGAUGAAUGAGCACUACACAAGGGGUUGUUUUUUUGGGUUAAAUUCUAUUGUUGGUCCUAAUACUUGCAUAGAGUUUGAGUUAAAACUUAUAAAUUUAAAAUUUUUAAUUUGUCAGUAGUUUCUAUUAAAACUUAUCAAUUUUUAAUUUUGGGUUAAAUUUUUUAUUUUUUAAAUUUAAAACUUCAUAAAAAUUAUAAAAAUAUUUUUAAAAAUUAUAAAAUAUUAAAAAUAUUUUUUAAUAUACCAUAUUAACAAAGUUAACAAAUAUUAAUUUUUCAUUCAUUUUACGGUAAAUUUGUUCAAAGCUGUUUUAUGAAAAAAAUGAAUUAAGUUUAUGUGAUGAGAAUAAAAAAGGCCAUACAACAAUGAUUUUAACGGUCUAAUGACUUAAAUAAAAACUUUGAAAUAAUUAAAUAAAUAUUUUAAUGACUUUGAAUGUAAUUUAAAUUAUUUAAAAUAAAUAGUAUUGUUAAAUAUAAAUAUCAAAUAAUAGAAUUUGAAAAUCAAUCAACAAGUGUAAAAUAUUUAAUAAAUGGUAUGAUUUUAAAAGAGAAAUAAAAAUUAUCAAGUGAUAAAUAGAGGUGAUCAUGGGCCGCGUCGGGCCUAGAAAAAAAUUUCGGCCCGCGUCCUAGGCCCGGGCCCCGCCCGACUAGAAAUAUGGGCCUAAAAUUUUGUCCAAGCUCGACCCGAGAAAAAAUUCCUAAGCCCGAGCCUGGCCCGGCCCGUUUUUAAUAAACACAAAAAUUGUAUUUUAAAAAUAAAAAAUAAAAAAAGUAUUUUAAAAAUAUUUUAAAAUUUAAAAAUUUAAAAAAUAUAUUUAUUGUAUAUUCGGGCAGGGCCCAGGCCAAAAAAGUUUUACCCGAGGCCCGGCCCGUUUUCUAAACGGACAUUUUUUUUGUCCAAACUCAUAUUUCGGGUCUAUAUUUUUACCCGAACCCUUCCAUAUUUCGGGCGAGCCGUCGAGUCAAGCCGGGCCGCCCAACCCAUGAUCACCUCUAGUGAUAAAUAUAUCUUGAAGAUUUUAUCCUAAAUUGUUAAACACAUUAAAUAAGUCAAUAAUGAUUAGAUUACGACAAAAUAAUUAUUUAAAAAAUAAAUAUAUUUAUUAAAAGAUUAUGUAAAAGGAUAAAGUUAAAAGAUUUAAAUUUCAGGAAUUAAAUCUUGAUAUAAACAUUAAUACAAAUUUUUAAAAAGAAAAGAUAUGAUUUGAUAUUCACAAAAUUUCUUUCUUCUCUAAUAAUAGAUCGGUGAACUAUCUAGUAGUGUAGAAGAACCAAAGCUUAUUAUCAGAGAGAACCUUCGUUGCCGGAACAUGGCUUGCCUCAAUGCCCGACGAUCUCUAUCAACCCUUUUAAGCCGCGCCCUCACUUCUUCUUCUUCUUCCUUUCCUUCCCGUUCUCGCCUCACUGUUGCUCUCCUGAACAAAACCCCAAUUUUUAUCCCCGAUGCAACAAAAAUCCUGACCCGAACCAAGACAUACGGGUCCGACUACUCGCCUUUUCGUGACCCUUCCCGAUUACCAGCGGUUGUCCUAUAUGGCCGUGGUGACGAACAUUGGCUUAUCAUUUUGGAAUUCCCAGAACGCCCAAAACCUUUGGAAGAAGAAAUGAUCGAUACCUAUGUUAAAACUCUCGCUUCUGUUGUCGGCAGGUUUUUAAAUUAUAAUUAUUCCUUCAGAUUUCAUUAAAUUUGGGUUUUAUUUUUCUCUUUUGUUUGUUCUGAUCUUGUAGUGAAGAGGAAGCGAAAAAGAGAAUAUACUCUGUCUGUACAACGAGGUAUAGUGGGUUUCGUGCUUUUUUUUCUAAGGAUUUGGUCGAAAAACUUAGAGGUAAUUUCAUUUCCCAUUUACUACGGUUUAGGGUUUACAUGGUUUUCCCUUUUUCUAGUGUAAUUGGAACAAGAAAUGGGUUUUUUGAAACAAUGGGUUUUCAGACAGAAAAAAGAAUUAACAUUGGUUUUCAUUGUGUGUGAUGUGUUGUUGGCUGUUUUAGGGUUUUAAACCUCCCGAUGUGAUUGCUUUCUAUACUAAUUUAUUAGGGUUUAAACGGUUUUUCCCAAUUGCUUUUGUGAGUGUUUUUGUACUUACAAUUGAUGAGGCAUCCAAUUUGUUCUAAAAUCAAUGGGCAUUAUGUUUUUACAGAGUUACCUCGUGUACGCUGGGUUUUAUCAGAUGACUUUAUCUAUGGUCAAGAUCGUUAUUAUGGAGGUGGGUAGUUUAAAGAUAAGCUUGUUGCUUAUAGCCAUUGAAGUUCCCAUUGUCAAUAAAUUUAAUCUCUUUUUUCUCAGGAGAUUUGUUUGUUGAUGGGAAUGUGAUUCAUAGACCCCCGCAGCACGGAGUUGGAGAAAGUGCUGAUUAUGAUCUUUGGGUUAUCAAAUUCGAAUCCCCGAGAAAUAUCGAUUUCUAUGUUAAAUUCCUCGCUUGUUUAGUCGGCAGGUUUUUGAUUCCUUCAAUUUUGGGGUUUUUUUUUCCGGGAAUUUGAGAAUUGGGUUUUAUUUAUCUUUUUCUGUUUGUAGUGAAGAGGAAGCGAAAAGGAAAAUAUACGCCGAUGGUGGUAGACUAACGAGGUAUACUGGGUUUUGUGCUGUUAUGUCUAAGGAGAUGGCUUAUGAACUUGAAGGUAAUUGUAUUUCUCAUUUAUUAGGGUUUACAUGUUGUUCUCAUUUAUUAGAGUUCAGUGUUUAGAAUUGGCGUUUUGUUUGUCUAGGGUUUCCUCUUGUAAAACGCGUUGAUCGGGUUUCAGAGGCCGAAAAUGACGCAUAUCUUGAAGCUAUGGAAUUAUUAUCAUGGGAAUUCCUUGAUGCUGUACCAACCUUUCAGAAAUUGCUAGCAAGAGAGGAGAGGAGACUGUUGCGAUUACUAGAUUUGGUGAUGCACCAGAUAUUAAACGAUAUUUAUACUCGUAAAAUGGACGAAACCGAAACUGAGGGCUAGGACCAGAUCUUUUCCGAUUUGGUGGAUUCAUAAAUCUCUUUAUUUAUUUAUUUUAAUUUCAAAAACUAUUUUAUUUAUUCGGUAUUAGAAGAGUCAUAAUUAUUUGAAUUAUUAAUUCGUGUAAUCUCCAUUCCUAAUAAAUAUUAAGUUUAUUUAUUGUUGUUAUUAUUUAAAAUAUAUAAUUUUGAUUAUUUAUAAAUUUAUUCUAAUAUCUUUAAUCAUUAUCUCAUUGUAGUCUAAAUCAUUGGUAAUAUAUGUUUUAAUUUCUGAAUUAUUCCCGCCGGACCAGUGAACAGGCCUUACUACUAGAAUAACCAACCCGGUGUCCUUAACAUUAAUUUCCCCGGAGGUGCACAAAAUUUUGGAUAUUAUUUUUGUACCACUGGUAGCAUGCUUAACUAAUAGCAAUAAUUUAUUCAGCUGCGGCUUCGGCAUGCACUUCCAUAUACAUAAAUCAAGUUAUAGGUUUUUUUUUUUUCCCUCAUGCAAUCGAUGUUCAAAGCUAAAUGAGAACACAACGAAGAUGCUUUCAUGGAAUUAGCAUAAUUGAUCCAGUUGUUCUGAGAUUCUCAGUAUUCGAAAUGUUACUGAAUUAAUAUUUAUCCACUAUACAGAUAGGGCGGAAGCCUUAUGAAGUUAUGGUUGAUUCUUCAAAGGGUUAACUCUAAAAGAAGAUCCACAUGCAAGUGGAUUACAGGAGCAGCCUAACAGAUCCCGGAUUGGUUAUUCGAAGAAAAACCCUCAAAACUCCAAUUCUGUGAUUGGGAGUAACUGAUGAAAUGAGAACCCUGAGUUCAUCUGUCAGUUCAUUCUUUGGUGUGAGUAGAAAAGAAGAUAUAGGACUUGCUUUAUCAUUCUUUUAAAAAACCAGAUCCCCUAUACACAUUUUAAAAAAAAUAUCAUCUUGUACCUUACUCUUGUACAAAAUUUGCUUAACUAUUUGAAUACAUUUGGUCAGGCAUUGAAAUGCAACAUUAUGAUACAUGUAAAAGGAACUCAUAAAGAGAACUUUGGGUUGCUUUUCCACAUGCUAUAUAAAUUAUGUACAGUGUGGGAGCUUACAUAGCCUUUGCAAAGGAACAUUGUGAUAUGUCUAUAAUGGAUAAAGGAGCAGCAACAAAAGCUCCACCAUCGGUUCAAAUGGUUGUGGAAGCAUUAGCCGGAGAUUUAGAAUGGUGAGACACGAAUGAUUCUACAAGUGGAUUCACAAGAUGUGGAGCUUCAUCCUGCAUGCACAUUACUAAUACAGCAAUGAAUUAUCAUCUUUGUUAACAGAAAAACCUGCCGAACCACAGUUUCAUGAGAGAGCAAACCUGAGGGCAGUGGCCAACAUUGGGGAGGACGACUCUACAGUAUAAAAAAUCCCCGUAGGCUCUUCCGAGUUCGAUGCUUUCCCAUGGAUCCUUGUCACCCCAUGCUAUCAAGACAGGACACUGCAAAAAGAGAGAAACAAGCAACAUAAACUAACACGGAAACUAAAGGGAAAAGAAGACGGCAUACGAGAAAUCAGUUUAAGAAACUUACUUCAACCUGCGGAAGUAAUUCCUCGGGCAGGGGACCACCUGUGUAGCAUAUGAACUCAAGAAAAACAUCAACAGCACCAGGCUCAAGUCCUGGAUGUAGGAUAAUCUGAACUAGUUCUUCGGUCACUUGAGAGGUGUCAUGGUAACACUGAAAUGAAACACCAGAAGCAAUCAAGCAAAGAUUGAUUCAUUUCUUACCAAAUUCAUCAUAGGAUACUACCUGACAAAGAAUACUUCUAACAGACUCCGGUGUGGCAACGGAUCCGAAGAAAAGUUACCGACUGCAGUGUUCCUGCCAAGAUAUCAUUACUGCCCGAAAAAUCCAUAUGGCUAGUGCAACAUUUCUAAACUAGAAUGUAAAAAUAAAAAUGGUUCCAUAUCGUUUUUUUACCUAAGCAAACUCCGAAAUGCGCAAUGAAAGGUCUUCCAAACCAUGGUUGCUUUUUGACAUGAAGCAUGCGCAGAGAUAUAUUUAAUAGGAAUAAACCCCUACAGAUCUCCGGCUUUGCUACUGCAGAUUGAAGGCCAACCAGUCCUACGUGAUGACGCCCAUUAUUAUACAGACAUAAGCAUCAAGCAUAAAAUGAAUUAAAACACUAAUAAGGGAAAUUACCUCCAAUAGAGUUACAAAUAAAGAAAGCAUUAUCUUUAACCACACUGCUACAAAAAUCAUUGAGAACCCCAAGUCUCAAAUAUAUAGAAUGAGUCCCCAACUUCACGAGGAUUCGGUUUGUCCGAGUAUCCGUAGCCAAUAAGAUCAAUUGCAUAUACCCUGUGUGAUUUUGCUAGAACAGUGAAAGAAACGCAGGUAAGCUUGAACACUUUAGAAGAAAACUGUUUACAAUUUUAAUUGUUUCUCUUUACUUAGUUCAACACCUAGUCAAAUGAAAAUAUUUAUAGGAAGCAAAUAACUUCCUUGCGUAACAAAUUAGCUAAACACCUUAACAGACCCUAACUACCUCUCUAACCAAUACUAUCUUUAACAUGCAUCCAUCUUCUCCACCGAAACAACCCGAAGAAAAUUCCUAAACCGAGUAAAACACGAAACAGACAGUGGUUUAGUUAAAACAUCUGCAACUUGAUCGUACGCAGGAACUUCCCCAACCAAAACAGAACCAUCUGCAACCUUUUCACGAACAAAAAAUAGAUCUAACUCCACAUGUUUGAAUUUGGAGUGUAACACAGGAUUGGCAGCAACAGCUACUGCACUGGAGCUAUCACACCAGAUAUUGGGCUGAGUAGGUAACCCGAUAUGUAACUCUUGAAGUAACGAAAGUAUCCACAAAACAUCACUGGUGACAGCAGCCAAACUUCGAUAUUUAGCUUCAGCUGUAGACCUAGAUACCACCUGCUGUUUCUUCGAAGACCAAGAUACGGGAUUAGAUCUAAAAAAUACACAAUAUCCUGAAGUAGACCGCCGAUCAUCAAAAUCCAACCCCCAGUUUGCAUCCGAAAAUCCAACUAGAGACAAAGAAUCAGACCUACGAAAAAUAAUUCCAAAAUCAAGAGUACCAGACAAAUAUCGCAAUAUCCUUUUAAGAGCAGCCAUAUGAACUGUGGUAGGAUUAUGCAUGAACUGACAAAUCCUGUUAACUGCGUAUGCAAUAUCAGGCCUAGUCAUGACAACAUACUGUAGCGCACCAGCCAAACUUCUGUACUCCGUUGGAUCAGACAAAGGAUCACCGUCACUCUUAGAAAUAUGCGACGAACUAAUCAUGGGCGUAUGAACACUUUUGGCAUUAGACAAACCACUACGCUUCAACAUAUCUUGAAUGUACUUCCUCUGACACAGAUGAAGACACCUAGAUGAGGACUGGGUAACCUCAAUUCCCAAAAAAUAAUGCAAAUCACCCAUGUCUUUCAACGAAAAUUCAUCAUUCAACAGCUUCACAAACCAGUCAAUAGAUGACGGCACAUCCCCAGUUAUGAUUAUGUCAUCAACGUACACAAGAACAUAGAUAGUGCAGUCAGACUGAACUCGAACAAAUAAAGAUGCAUCCGACUUUGAACCAGAAAACCCAACCGUCAGAAGAAAAGCUUUCAACUUUUCAAACCAAGCUCGUGGAGCCUGACGCAGACCAUACAAAGCCUUUUUUAACCGACAGACCAAGGGUCUCCCAUUAACGCCAAGCUUAACAUAACCAGGAGGUUGUUGCAUGAACACUUCACAAUCAACAUCCCCAUUCAAGAAGGCAUUGUUGACAUCAACCUGUCGGAGCAACCAUUCUUUAGUAACUGCAGCUGACAAUAUAACCCUUAUAGUGACGGGUUUUACAACUGGAGUAAACGUCUCUUGAAAAUCACAACCUGGGACUUGCGAGCAGCCUUUCGCAACCAGACGUGCUUUAUAUCGUUCUACUGUACCAUCUGGGUUUUUCUUGACUUUAAAUAACCAUUUACAACCAAUAACUUUGUGACCAGAUGGUAAAGGUACCAAUUCCCAAGUACCAUUACGAAUCAGGGCAUCAUACUCAGCUUGAGCAGCAGUUUGCCACUCUGGACUCGCAAAGGCCUCCUCAAUCGUUGACGGCUCUACAACUUCAACAGCAAGCACUCUAGGUUUAAAAAUACCCGCCUUUGACCUAGUGGUCAUGGGAUGAAUAUUCACUUCAGGUGCAACACUCUCUGGUCCUGUAGGCGCAGAUGGAAUCAGAACAACUGGUGUGGGAGACUGAUCACCAGACAAUGAUGGACUAUUAGGAGAGGAAAUACUGUGAGGGCUAGUAUUUGUUGGAUCAUCAUGUACUCCACUCUGAGGAACCAACACCCCAUUCGAAUAUGGACUACUAGGAGAGUUAAUAUUUGUUAGACCAUCAUGUACUCCACUUUGAAGAACCAACGCCCCAUUCGAAUUACUCGGGUACAGACACGCAGAACCAGUGCCGGAGUUCUGAUGACACGACAUAUUAGAUUUGAGCAUAGGCAAACAAGCAGAUAUAGUACUCACCUUCUUAGAAGGCAGUGAUAAAGACGUCGGAGAUAGAAAUCGUGAUUCAUCAAACUCAACAUGCCGAGAGACAAUGAUUUUACCAUCAGGCAGAAGACAUUGGUAUCCCUUGUGACAUGAGCUGUAUCCCAAAAACGUGUAUGGUUGUGACCGAAAUUCUAGCUUGUGACAAUGAAAUAGACACAAAAAUGGAUAGCAACAACACCCAAAAACACGUAAAUGAUCAUAAGUAGGAUCAUGUCCAUACAAGACCCUAUAUGGAGUCUUACCAUCCAGUACCGGUGUGGGAAGACGAUUUAUUAAAUGAACUGCACAUGUGAACGCAUAUGCCCAAAACUUCAUUGAAAGUCCCGCUUGAGCUAAAAGUGUGAGUCCCAUUUCCACAACGUGUCUAUGUUUCCGUUCCGCAACACCAUUUUGUUCAGAAGUGUGAGGGCACGUAACUCGAUAAAUAAUACCGUGAGAAGCUAGAACUGGAGCGAAGGCUCGAUACUCCCCACCCCAGUCACUCUGAAACUGUUUGAUGGACUUUCCAAAUUGAUUCUGAACUAGUUUCUGAAACUGAUUGAAGCAAUUCACAGCCUGAGACUUCUGCCGUAUUAAGUACACCCAAGUGAAACGAGAACACAUAUCGACAAACGAGACAUAAUACCAAUUGGUUCCAGAAGCAACUGAGGCAGGUCCCCAUACAUCCGAAACAACCAACGAAAAUGGAUCAGUAUAUUCAGUAGUAGAAACAGGAAAUGGCAACUUAUGAAAUUUUCCCUUUUUACAAGGAGUACAAACAUCACUUAUAGCAACUUUAUUCAUAGCAACUUUAUUUAACACGACAUGACAUUUAUCAAAAACAUCAUUAACAACAUUCAACGAUGGAUGACCAAGAAGUUUAUGCCAUAACAAACACAACUCACUGUCAGCAGUCCGAGUUGGAAUUUCAACUUGAGCAGUAGAUGGAUGAAACGUAACAGGAACAGACGCAUCUGAUAUGGAAAACUGAUAUAGCCCAUUAUGAAUACGGCCCAUCAGCAAAAUCUCCUGUGUCAUGCUAUCCUUAAUCACACAAUAAGUUGAAUGAAAUUCAAAGAACACACCAUUAUCAGUUGCAAACUGUGAUACUGACAAUAAAUUCUUCCUAAUAGCCGGAACACACAAAACAUUAGAUAAUCGAAGCACCCUAGAACGAGUAGAUAUAUCACCCUGACCGACAGAUGAUAUCAUAGCAGGUGUACCAUCACCCAUUAAAAGAGAGGACUUACCUGAAUAUGGAACGGCAUCACGGAUUGCCGAAUCAUCUUGACACACGUGAUUACUGGCACCCAAGUCAAGAUACCAUGAUGUUGUGCCAGCUUGUCCAGGAAUCGGGGAGUCAGAACCAUCCCCACUAACCCCACAUUGUGUAGAGUUAAUAUGCGAACCUGAGAUAGACGGAUCAGAAUAAUCAGAAGCAUGUAAAUCUCCUAACCUAGGAAGUCCAAAACACGGAUUCCACGCGGAGAAAACACGAGCUCGUGGUUUAGUCCGCCAUGGAACACCAAAACCAUCAACCGGUUUAGAUGAAUCAAGCUGCACAUUAUUCGAAAUAGGGUUAGCAUCCAAUAACGAAUCAUUUAGCCCAAUAUUACCAGUCGGACGAACCCCAUCACGCGGCCCAAAAUUUCCAGUAAUUGCACCAUGAGUUCCUCCACCAUUCGGGCCAAGAGUAUGUGGCCUAUACUCAUGAUUUUCAACAAUAGGCCUAAGCCAACCACCAUUCGGGCCAAGAGGUUGUGGCCUAUACUCAUGACUUUCAAUAUUUGGCCUGGGCCCACCACCCAUCGGUCCUGCAUAAGGCGCACUAAAAUUAUUAUAUCCAUCAGCACAAUAAUUUUGACCAAUUUCAAAACUAUUUUGACCAUAUCCAUAAUAAUUUUGACUAGAAGCCACAUUAUUCUGACUAGUGCCACCGCCAUGUUGACCAAAAUUUGAAACUCUAGGCCGUGUAUUCGGUGGUGAAGACCAGCCACGAUCCUCAGAAGCACAAAAAUUUUGCAUCGAAAACUGCAUCGGAGAAGCCUCGUCACGGUGGUACCGAUAGUAGCAACGCUGAGCCACGUGACCGAACCUGGAGCAGAUCUGACACUGGAGACGCGGCCUGAAGUUCCUACCACGGCCACGCACAGUCAAACGACCCCCACGCACCGAACCAUCCGAGGCCGAAAACGAUGAUUCUUCUACCAUAUUUGCACUGUACAAAACUUCCUGAUUCGGCGGAACAUGAUGAGUUUCACAUUCAAUUAGAGCGUCCACCAUACGCUGAAAUGGUAGGGGAGUCGGUGACAACGAAGCAGAGGACACCACGCCUUCAAAUUCGGAUGGAAGACCCGCAAGCAUGACCGCCGUCCGCUCUGCCACUGAUACAGAUGUUCCAGACGCUUCUAGAUGUGCAGACAGACUCUUUAGUUUGGCAACAUACUCUCGGAUCGACAAACUCCCUUUCUUGAAGGAGUGAAGUUCAUGACGCAGCCUGAUACGAGUCACAAAAGCCCAAAUUCUUGAAGGCGAGGCCCAAUAAGCAAAUUCCCAGCCCAAUCAAGAAAUCCAUCCAUACUUAGUUGAAAAUCAGGCCAAAUUGUCAAAGUGGCCCAAGUUGUAAAGUUUUAUUUUUAUUUUUAUUUAUUUAUUUACUUAGUUUAAAUUUUUAUGUCAAUAUUCAGUCCAAGAGUCCCAGAUAAAAUGACCUUUGACCGAAUUUCCAUAUUAAAAUAAUUAGGAGUUUUUUUUUAUUUUAGUUUUCUAAUUAGAUUAGGACUAGUUAUAAGGCAUAUUUAAAGGCAUGGCUGUCCACCUGGUUAAACACUUAUCAUUAUUAUUAAAAUUUCAGAUUUGUUGAGAGCAGAAUUUUCUUUGAGUUUUCUCCAAGAUUUCUCUCUUGAGUUUUCUUUAGAAGUUGUUUUAACAAUCUUGUGAUUGUGGGAGCCAUCUUCAACCUUCUUCUUGCCAUUGAUAUUCUUUGGAGGGGAGAUUAGAGCCGUUUGAAGGGAGUUGUGAGAUCUUUCGAGAUUUCAAGGCUUCUUAGGACUUAUCUUUUAAUUUCUUACUGUCAAUUCUUUCUUUAUUUCUACUUGUGCUGAAUCAUUAUCUAAUCUAUUUUCUGUUCUUAUUGUGUUUUCAGCCUUUUUCUAUCUUAAGGAAUCAGCCCAAAAAUCCCCAAUUUCUAGGGUUUUUCCAUACUCUUUUUGGGUGAAAUUAGAUUGUCGAAAUUUGGGGAAAACUAUCUUGGUGUUCAAUUGGGCAGAAUCACAAUCUCCUUGAGGGUUUCAAGAACCCUAACACUUAUUUCUAUUCUCAAUUUGAUUCUUUGCUGAUUUGGGGAUUUUAUUUCAGAUCUGAAAAUUUAAAAAUCUAAUCUUUUAAUUUUCUGUUUCGUUUCAGAUCUAAUUGUUUAGGGUUUUCGUAGGAGUUUCUCGUGACUUGGCAACUCGAUCUUGGUCCGCGCGCAACCCCGUAUCACAGCCUUUCUUGUCGUAGAUCCGUAUCGGCGGCGAACAUCGCCAACGCCGUAGUCCACACCUCGGAUGCCGAUUGCACAUCCAUAAAAGAGGAUAUAAUGGUCGAGCUUAUAGUAGAAAGAAGCCACGAAGUAAUAAGAUUUUCCUGUUGUGUAAACACAGAUGCCGCCGGAUUAAGUACAAGAGCACCGUCCGAUGCUUGUACAAAUCUCUGCGGCGCAGACACAGAUCCAUCCAGAAAACCAAACAAAUCAUAUCGAUUAACAAUAAAUCGAACCUGUUGCUUCCACUAAAGAAACGUCCCUUCAUCAAGCUUCACGACCUCAUGCCGAGGAAACGAGUUCACCACCCGAUCAGCAGUGAAGACUGAGCCAUUCAAUUCAACGGAGUCGGAGGCAGCAGAUUUUGUCGUGGCCAUUAUCAAGAUCUCUUAGCGACUGAUACCAUGAAAGAAACGCAGGUAAGCUUGAACACUUUAGAAGAAAACUGUUUACAAUUUUAAUUGUUUCUCUUUACUUAGUUCAACACCUAGUCAAAUGAAAAUAUUUAUAGGAAGCAAAUAACUUCCUUGCGUAACAAAUUAGCUAAACACCUUAGCAAACCCUAACUACCUCUCUAAACAAUACUAUCUUUAACAAACAGGAAUAUUUUUCCUCCAAUGAUUACUGUACUAAGCAAGACAUUAGAAGAACUGACAAUUAAGCAUGAACGCAUGGAACCAAGUUAUUUAAAGGAAACCUUUGAAACGAUUAAUAAUUGAUACACAUUUGAAACAUGCAUAUACAAACUGCACAUGCAGAAACCAAUCACUUGUUUGCUAAUGAGAAGAAAAAUUCAACUAUGCAGACCUGUUUGCUCCAAAACCAUGUACUAAAACCAAGGCAGGACUGCUCCUCCCAGAACACUGAUAGCGAGUAGAAGAGCCCUUCCAGUUCCAUGUACUACAGAAACAAUAGAUACAAUGCAACAACAUCAAAAAAUUAAAGAAAAUUAUAUUAAAUUUGUUUAAUUUGUUAUUUGAUUUUACAAAUUUUUUAUGAUAUUUAUUUUUUAUUUAAUUUGGUACACUUAUUUAAUAAAAAUUAUAUAUUUUAGUUUAGAUCUAUAUAAAUUUAAUUUUUUAAAUAUAUUGUUCAUGUUUUGUUUAGGGGCGAAGCCAGAACAAUUUUGCAUGGGGGCCAGAUGAAAUUUUAAUUUUUUAUAGUCUAUAUCUUUAAAAUUUUUAAAGGAUUAAAUUGAAUUUUUAUAAUUUUAGAGGGGCCAAAGUGUAAUUUUACCUUUACUAAUUUAAAAUUUUUAAAAAAAUUCAAAAACCUAAAUAGUAAAUUUACAUUUUAGGGGGACCGGGACGCUGCCAGCCCCUAGAUUCGCCCCUGAUUGUGUUAUAGAAAAAUAAUUAUCAAACAUAUUUUCAUCUUUUUAUUAUUAAAAACAAUUUUUUUUCUAUUUAUGAUACGCAUCUUCUAUUUUUUAAAAUAAGAAACUAAAAAUUAUUUUUUAAAUAAUAAAAUUUUAAAAAAUAAAAUAAAAUAUUAAUUUUCAAUUAAUUUAAUCUACUCAAUAGUUUAACAAACAAACCUUACUUAUUUUUAAAUAUUGUACUAAUUUUUUUUGCAUAUUAAAAAAACAAUAAUCGCUUUUAAUCAAUAAUUACUUUUCUUUGAAUGCAAGAAUUGAGAAAAACAAUUAAUUCAUAAAAUAGAAAAUAUAUAUUUGCAAAACUACAUUUGUAAUUUCAUUUAAAAAUGAAAAAUGAUUUUAUCUAUUUUCCUUUAAGAAAAUUAUUCCAUAUAUCGUCACUAAAGCAUAGCAAAUUGUUUGUUAAAAAUUAUAAUUUUUGAGAGAGGUUAAGUCUCGAACCUUCAACAAAAGGUAUUAUUCCACUAAAGGAAUUUGUCUCUUUUAAGGAAUACAUCGGUGGAUGUAAAUGUUGAAUACAAUGUAUUAUAUAUUAUAUAAAGUAUUUUUCAAAUAAAAUAUAUAUUAUUAAAGUUUUAUAAUAUUUAUAAAAUAUACAACAAUCAUGUAUGUACAUAUAAUUUAUGUUAUUAUUAUUUGAAUUAUUAAUUGGUGUUAUUUAGGUGAAUAGAAACUCUAAUCACCAUUUCUUAUUUAUUGUUGUUAUUAUAUAAAAUAUAUAAUUUUGAUUUUGAUAACAAUUUAAUAAAUACAUAAUAAAUAAUAGAAAAUAGAUACGGAUAUAAUUAAUAAAUUUCUAAUUGUGUUAAUGUGAUUAUUACUUAAAAUAUUUUAUUAGUUAAAACAUAAUUACUGAUUAUUUAUAAAUUUAUUUUAAUAUCUUUAAUGAUAAUUUUUAAUUUUUUUAAUUAUCAUCUCAUUGUCUCUCCAUUUAAACUCAAACACAUAUAACAUUAGGUUAAAUUAUAUUUAAGGUAACUGAACUUAGUAAAUUUAUAUUGUAGUUAUUGGAUUUAAAGGCGAAUUCAGGGAGCUGGCAGGGGCCUCGCCCCUCCCUAAAAUGAAAAAAAAUACCAUUUAGGCCAUUUGAAUUUUUUAAAAUUUUAAAUUAGGAAAUGUAAAAUUGCACUUUGGCCCUCCUAAAAAUGAUAAAAUAUUUAUUUAAUCUUUUAGAAUUUAUAAAAAUAUAGGCUAUUUAAAUGGUAAAAUUGUAUUUUUACUAUCGUAAAAAUUAUAAUUUAAUUUUGGCUCCCUAUUUUUUUUCCUUCGCCCAUGAUUGGAUUAUUCAAAAGUUUUUAUUUAAGUCAUUAGGUUAUUGAGUUUUUUCUUUUUUAAAGUUUGGCUAAUGAGUUUCAAGCGAUGAUUCGCGCAGUCAGUACCCAUCAACUAGUAGAAAAACAUACAUUAGUUUUCAGUCGAUUUAAUGCCUAGUGUUAGAGAUCGAAUAAGAAAACUGUUUGAAUUUUGGUUCAUAAGUUCAUGAUGUUUAAAAUUAUUUUUAUGAAAAUAAAAAGAACUAUGAAAAUAAAAUGAAUUAGAACUUUUGAUUGAUCUCGAUGAUGAGAGCAUAAAAGGUUAUACAACAAUAAUUUUAACCGUCUAAUGACUUAAAUAAAAACUUCUGAAUAGUUAAAUGAACAUUUUAUAAUUUUUUAAAAUUGAAUAACCAAAAUAUUUUAUAAUCUACCAAAGCUAAGUCUUAUCUCCCUGAAGUUGCAGUGGAGCAGAUUGAAGUUACAAAUCUCAUCUCCUUGAAGUUAUAGUGGAGCAGAUUGAAGCGACAAAUCUUGUACCUCUGAAGUUAUAGUAGGUCGGAUUAAAUCUACCAUAGCAGGUCUUAUCUCCCUGACGUUACGGUGGAGCAGACUAAAACCACAACUCUCAUCUCCCUGAAGUUGCAGCGGAAUAGGUUAAAACUACAAAUUUUUUUAUCUCUAAAGUUGCAGUGGAGUGGAUCGAAGCUGUACAGCCCAAUAUUUCCCCAGCCCAAAACCCAAUUAAACCCAAACCCGGAGCCCAAAUUGACCCAACAAAUACAAGUCCAAAUCAGAAAAAAAACUAGCCCAAUACCUAGAAACAAAAAAAAAUGAAAAAACCCUAGCUCCUAACCCUAGCCGCCGCACCUAGGGUCCUCUAACAAGUAGGCGUCGCACGUCCCAUCACCGCUCACCUGCCCUCUGCCAUCACCGCUGUAACAACCCAAUUUUGGGUCUAGUCGAAACAGUGGUUUUGAGACCACAAAUCCGACGAGAAAAAAUGUAAUGGCCUGAGUUUUCAGAGGUGUCGGAACGGUGAUUCGAGAUCACUAAAUUCGACAAAUUGGUAGAAAAUAUUAUUAAUUUAGUGAGUAUAAGUUAAAUGUGAAGUUAGAGAAAUUUUUGAAAUAGUGAAUAGUACACUAGAAAUAAAUAUUAAAAUAAUUAGAAUCGAAAAUGAGGUAUAGAGACCUCGGGGAUUUUAAACCGAGCCAUAAAUAUUUUUAUAAAUACUUAUGUAGUGUUAAAAAGUUAGUAUUAAAGUUUCGUUAAGAAAUUUUAAAGUUCUGAUAAUUAAUUGAACAAAAAGGACUAAAUUGUAACAAAUGCAAAAUUUUGGGAAAUGAUUAAAUAGCUUAAAUGAUAAAAGGAAGAGGGCUUAAAAGGAAAAUAUACCCAAGGUCUAUUUGGGCUGGACGACAAAGGCAUGAAAUCAGCAACAAAAUAAGGAGAAUUAAGCGCAAAAUUGGAAUAUUGCAAAAUUUACUUAAUAAAGUUAGGACCAAAGUGGAAUUAUCUAGAUUUCUCUUUAUUUUUCUGCAUUCUCAUCAGCAAAAACACCAUAGAAGGUUUCCUUAAGCUGUUUCUUCCUAUUUUUACUGCAGGUAAGUUCAAUUCUUGAUUAUUUCUUGAAAAUUUUGUGUUUUUGUGACUUUUAGAACUAGGCCCACUUAUUGUAUUCAUUAGUUUUUGAUUUUAUGAAAGAAGUUGAAAGUUGUUAUGAAUACAUGCUGGAAGUAUAUGAUGAUUUAGCAUGGAAUUAGAGCUUUAAAUUGUUCAUAUGCUGAUUUUAUUGAAAGAAUUAAAUAGAAAGUGAAUGUUUGGGACCUAAUAGAAAAAGAGUUUGAAGAUAGAGUUAUAUGUGGAAAUUCUGAAUUUCAAUAAUUGUGAUACAACUUAUAAUGUCUAGGUAAAUUAUUAAUUGGGAAAAUUAGAUUAAUUGAGGGGUUAAUUGAGAAAGGACCGAAUUGUAUAAACUGUGAAAUUUGGGGCAAAAUGGAAAUCAACAUUUUGCACUAAAGCAGUUUUGGACAGCAGCAGUAGUAUAACUUUGAAAAAUCACCAAAAAAUUUGGGAAUUUAAUUAGAGGGUGAAUAAAAUAUGAAAUUAAAUCUUAUUGAGUCUAGUUUCUCAUAGAAGAAACGGUGUAAGAAAUGAAAUUGUAAAUCAUGAGAUAUAAUAAAUUUUGUGAGACAAUGUCAGAAUGAUUUCGGGUUCCCCUGUUCUUACUUUGGAAAAUCAUAAAAAAUUGAAUAAAAAUAAUAAUGAGUUAUAAUUAUAUGCUUAGAAUACUUAAUGAAUCUAUUUUCAAAGGAAAUAAACAAAAACAUCAUCAGAAUUCUGUACAAUUAGCUAAUUCAUUUUUAGUGAAGGGUGGUCGGAGCUGUCAGACAGCAUAACAGGGGAAACUUUAAAGAAUAAACCGUACUAAUUGGCUGAACCAAAAAUUUUGAAAAUUUUAUGGUAAAAAGAUAUGUGAGUCUAGUUUCAGGAAAAAUUUAUGGAUAUUAAUUUGGAGCUCUUUAUCUCUGGAUAAAAAUAAUGUAGUGACUCUGACUCAGAAGGAUAACUUGGAUUUUACAUACAAUAAAAUUGUGAAAGUAUAAAUAAUAUUGUUUAAAUGUGUUAUACACAUUAAGGAUGAGGAAUGUAGAGGAGGUGGAGAAAAAUUGGGAAAUAUAUGAAUGAUUUGUGAAUAAUUGGUCAUAUACUUGAUUAUAAUUGAUAAACGAUGAAAUAGAAAUGCUUAUAUUUGUGCAUUAUUGACCAUGGUUUAAGCUCAUGUGUGAAAAUAAAGUUUCAUAGUAUGUGUGGAUGGUAUAUUCGGUAUAUGAUUUGGCAUGAAAUAAUGUCAUGAAUGGUUUAUGAAUUAACACAUGUUGCUAAGCCUGAUACAUGAAUAAAUGUUGUGCUCAUCCAUGCUUAUAAUGUUUAUGCUAUAAGUGUAUUUGGCUAACAUAUUUGGUAUACAUGCUUAGGCUUUGGCCAAGUAGUGACUAGACUAUGCCACGUUAAAUUUAUAAGUUAUGCAUUGAUAUGGUUUAUUAUGUGGUUAGACCCAAAAAGAGUUAUGUUUAAAUACAUUAGCUUGCGACUAUGGUUGAAUGAUAUGUUUAUAUCUUGUGUGAUGUGCAUAGAAAACGAGUGUGGAAAGAUAAUGAAAAGUAAGUUCAUAUGGCUGAACUUUUAUGAUUAAUUGUUAAUGUGGGAAUGAUAUAAUGUAUCAAUUCGUAUAUUGUUGUUGAAUUAUGAUUAUGGUAAAAAUAAGAAUAAAAUGAGAUUGUUAGUUCAAAUUAAGGGAUACGCAGGAUUGAGUACAUACGUUCGGUAACCUGUGAUGAUGAAUUGACAAAUAAGUCCAUGGUGGAUCCAUGGCAAAGUGUGAAACAUAGGUAUGGUAUUUCAGUGAAGAAAACCAUACUGAGUUGUGAAAAGUAGGUAUGGUAUUUCGGUAAAGAAAACCAUACUGAGUUGUGAAAAGUAGGUAUGGUAUUCCGGUAAAGAAAACCAUACUGAGUUGUGAAAAAUAGGUAUGGUAUUUCGGUAAAGAAAACCAUACUGAGUUGUGAAAAGUAUGUAUGGUAUUUUGGUAAGAAAACCAUACUGAGUUGUGAAAAGUAGGUAUGGUGUUUCGGUGAAGAAAACCAUACUGAGUUGUGAAAAGUAGGUAUGGUAUUUCCGUUAAGAAAACCAUACUGAGUUAUAGCAAUGUGAAAUAUUCAAGCAAAUCAUGGCACCAAGCAAACGAUAUACUCAAAUCCGUAAGACGAUCCUUAAUUUGACAAGUAUUUGUAGUACAAUUGAAGCUAAAUGUUGGAAUAUAAGUUGACAUCUAAUAUUGAGCUAGAUUGGAUAAAUUCAUUAUUUGAGAUUGUGGUUGGCCGGAAAUGUUACAUUAUAUAUAUUAUGAAGAAUUAUAAAAGCAUGUUAAUAAUUUUCAAAGUUUUAAUUUAGAUGAAAUUUUAUAACUCGGUUAAAUACGUCUUCAAGUGUAUGUGUUUUGGUAAUGCCUCGUACCCUAUUCCGAUGUUGGAUAUGGGUAAGGGGUGUUACAACCGCCACUGCUCCACCGCCUUCAAGUGGCCUGCAAGAAAUGACAAAAAUAAUACAAAAAUGUUGUAAAAAAAAGGCUAUAAAAGCCAUUGAAAAUCUGUAAUGGGAGGUUCUUUUCCCUUUUGAUGAACAAAAAAAUAAAAACAUAACACUUUCAAACAAGGAUUCAAGCAAAUCAGCAAAAAAAAAGAGAUAAAAAACAAGGGCAAUACGAAAGGUCCUUCUUUUUAUUAUUAUUAUUUUUUCUCUCUUUGUUUUCGGUUUUGGACUGUUUGUAUUAGAAAUUUCUUUUAUUUUUCUUUUAUUUUUAAACUAUAUAUAUAACAUAUAGAAGUAAAAAAAAUUACCUUUGAAUUUUCCACGGUGGCCGGUGCAACGGCGUCGACGGCGGUUCUCCUCACCGGAUCUGGGCAGUGCUGGAGAGGGGCAGAGGAAAUUUGAGAGCUUUUGUCUGUUUUAUUUUGAGAAAGAAGGAGAAAUGAAAAAUUUUGAAAAAAAUUUGGCUCAAAUAGGCUUCCAAAACGAUGUCGUUUUGGCCAGCCUUCUUAGGUACCAAAAUGGCGCCGUUUUAGGGCCGAUCCACGUGCGACCCGACUCGCUCCAGGGGGAUCUGCGUGUUUUCCAUGGAAGGGCUAAUUGCACUUUUAGCCCUUCCACUUUUUUAAUGUUUUCCAAUCAAGUACUUUUAGUUUUUUUAAAAUUUUUACCUCGGAUUGUUUUUGCAUUUUCAAUUUAGUCCCUACUGAACUCCGCAUUUUGCAAGAAUGGGAUUAUUUCCCAUUUGCCCCCUCCUAGUUUUUCGCGUGUACAUUUUGGUCUUUUUUCCCUCUUAUUUAUUUUGAAUUUGCCCCGAAAUUUUGUUUUUAGCUCAAUUUAAUCCCUUUUUUCAUAUCUUUGCUAUUUUAUCGUUAUUUUCAUUAUUAGUAGUAUUAUUAUUUAUAUUAUUAAUAUUAAUAUUAUUAUUAAUGUUAUCAUUACUAUACUAUUAUUACUAUUAUUGUUAUUAUUAUUAUUCACUUAUUUAUACUUUUUUUUAACUUCAAAUUUUGUUAUCUAUAUAUACACUUGUAUAUAUAUUUUUAUAAUAUACAUACUUUUUAUAAUACAUAUACACGUACAUAUUUCUAACUUUUGUAAAUAUAUAUACACAUAUUUUUAUAUAUAUAUUUAUUUAUUUAUUUUUAUUUUCAUAAUUUUUAUAUAUAUUUAUAUACAUAUAUACAUACGUGCGUUUUUAUAACAUAUAUAUACUUGCACAUUCUUUAUAUUUUAUAACUCAUAUGCAUGUCUAUAUAUCUAUGUACGUAUCCUAUUUUCAUAUACAUAAAUACAUACUUUUGUAUGCCUUCCAUAAUUUUUACAUACAUGCAUGUACAUAUACAUAUUUUAAUUUACAUACGUAUAUAUGUAUAUGCUUACAUAUAUAUAUUUUAUAUAAUAAUUUUAAAUAUGUACAUACAUAUAUUUUCUAUAUUUCCAUAAUUUUAUGUAUAUACACAUAUAAAUAUCUUUUAUAUUUUUUAUAGUUUUAUACAUUUUCUUUGUUUAUUUCUUAAUUUAAAUUCUCAUCAUUUGUUUUGAAUUUUAUUGCUUAUAUGUUUGCGAUUGUGUAGUAUAUUAGUUUGUCUUUGUAUUUAUUUUAUGUUAUUUUGUAGCCCUUGCUCGUAUUAUUUUGCUUACAUCAUCAUAAUUAUCAUUCCAUUACGUCAAUUUUUACCCAGAUUCAAAAAAAAAUUUUAAAAAUAUAAGUAAUACUCGAUAUUUGGGAUCUUCGAGAGAAUCGAGCCCUAACGUAUUGGGUUCCGAUUUUCUUCGUUGAAUCUAAAUAAUCAAGAUUACUCUUUUAAAAAAUGUAUAAUAAAAAACUCAUUAUCGGGAAUUCCAUACGUUGUGUCCUAACGCAUUGGAUAUGACAUGUUGUUUUCCCGAGAUGAGAAUUUUUUCUAAAAAAUAAUAAAGGCAGUAUUUUGCAUUUAGAUUUGAGAAAGUCAUGCCCUAACUUACUGGUUUUGAUUUUCACAAUAAAUCUAAAUACGUGAAUCUUUUCAAAGUCAAGUUUUAGACGAUCUCGGGAAUUAAAAAAGAUCGUGUCCUAACUUACUGGUCGUGAUCUCUUUUUUAAAUCCGAGAUAACUAAAUAUCUUUUUAAUAAGUACAUUUUUGGCAUUCAUUCGCGUAUCGGGAAUUCGAGACAUUGUGUCCUAACUUACUGGAUAUGAUGCAUUUUUCUCGAUUAACGUGAAAUAUGCUUCUUUUCCCAAAAAUGUUCAACAUUUUACUACAAGGAUCGUAUUUUUAAAAUUCUUCAAAGUUUUCAUUUUUGACAUUAAGACAUUAACUAAUCAACUAGGUACCAAUUUUUGGGCGUUACGAGUGUGCUAAUCCUUCCUCGUACGUAACCGACUCCCGAACCCAUUUUUCUGAAUUUCGUGGACCAAUAUCGUUGUUUUAAUAAAAUCAAAUUGUUUAUUAAAAACGACCACUUUUCAAGGUGAUCCGAUCACACCUUAUUAAAAAGGAUUGGUGGCGACUCCCGUUUUCGUUUUCAUUUUCAAAACUCAAGUUGACCCAUUUUAUCAAAAAAUGGUGUCAACAGAAGCAACAGGAUGCAGUGGACUAAAAUAAGGCUACUUGAAGAAAAUAAGCACCAAAAAGUCAAAAUUCGACAAGACCAGACAAAAUUGAUUUAACACCUCAAACCCAGCCUAAACAUUAAGGCCGAAUCUGGUGAUGUCACAUUGUAACACCUCUUACCCGUACUCAACGCUGGAAUAGGGUACGAGGCAUUACUAGAAUAAAUACACUUAUAGACAUAUUAAACCGAGUUAUAAAAUUUCAUUCAAAUUUAAACUCUUCAAAUUUUUAACAUGCUUUUAUAAAUAUUCACGUUAUAACUUCAAAAUACUAUAUUUGUAUCCUCAAAAUAUUAUAUUCAUAAUAAAUAGGGUCUGCUAGACCCGAUACUUCAUUUCCAUUUCAUUUAAUUCAAAUCAUAUCAUAAUUCACAUACAGUUCAAUUUCAUUAAGUUCAAUACUAAUACAUAUUUAUCGUUUAACUUAACGUACCUUUUUUGCGUCAUUUUACACUUCAAGCAUGAACUUAGUAUUUCGUUUCCUUUCCACUCCCGUUUCCUAUGCAUACCACACAAGAUAUAAACAUUACACUCAACCAUAGUCGCAAACUAGUCUUUUUGAAGACUAACCACAUGAUAAAUUAACCAUUUUAACAAAGAUUACAAACUUUAACAAAGAUUACAAACUUUAAACCUUACCACCCUUUUAUGAUCACAAGCAUAUUUCCAUCUAGACAUUUACCAUUUCAAUGCAUAAUUUUAUAAAUUUAAUGUGGCGUAAUCCAACCACAACUUGGCCAAAGCCUAAGCAUACACACCAAACAUGCUAGCCAAAUAAACAUAUAGUAUAAGCAUUAUAGGCAUCAUUUCUAUUUCAUCAUCUAUCAAUUAUAAUCGGGCAUAUGACCAAUUAUACUCAAAUCAUUCAUAUAUUUCCCAAUUUUCCUCCUCCUCUUCUCCAUCCCACAUCCUUUAUGUAUAUAACAUGCUUAAAUAGCAUUAUGCGUAAUUUUACUAUUCACUUAUAUUCAAAUUCAAAGCUGUCUAUUUGAGUCAGAGUCACUAAAUCAUUUUUAUCUAGAGCUACAGAGCUCCAAAUUAAGAUCCCUUAAUUUUUUCCGAAACUAGACUCAUAUAUCUUUUUACCAUAAAAUUUUCAGAAUUUUUGGCUUGGCCAAUUAGUACAGUUUAUUCUUUAAAAUCACCACUAUUUCACUUCUCAACAUCUCUGACCUCUCUUCACUAAAAAUGAAUUAUCUCAUUGUACAAAUUUUGGAUGGUUCUCUCGUUUAUUUCUCUUAAAAAUAGACUCAUUGAGGAAUUUAAGCAUGUAAACUAAAAACCAUAAUUAUUUUUUUAAAAUUUAUAGUUAUUUUUCCAAAGUUGAAAUAGGGGAUUUCGAAAUCAUUCUAAUACUGUCUUACUAAAAUUUAAAUAUCUCAUAAUUUAUAACUCUUUUCUUAAUCUAUUUCUUCCAUAUGAAAAUAGACUCAAUAACCUUGAAUUUCAUAUUUUAUUCAACAUUUAAUUCACUUUCCACUAUUUUUGGUGAUUUUCCAAAGUGAUACCAUUGCAUGCUAUCCAUACAAUUUUUAUUGCUAAUUUUAUUCAAUCAUGUUUUCUUUGCAUUAAUUCUCACUUACACUCUCAUAACACUAAAGUAUAUUCAUAAUAGCCAUGCCAAUAGCUAUUCAUCAUCAAUUAUUUACAAAUCUUCGUUGUUUUAACACUUGUUCCAUAUCAACUUCACUCAAGUUUGACCACAUAUCACGCACAUUGCCCACCACAUAUUCACAUUCAUUUCCACUUAAUCAUUUUCCGGUUGAACACUUAAGAAUAUUAUUGGAUACGUCAGAAAUUUGCACAUAAGUGCCACACUUGUAGCAAAAGCAACUUCACAUCAUUUUUCACUUUAGCUCGUUCUCGAGCUAUUCACUUUCUCAGGUCUGCUCACACAAGCUGUCAGUCUUUUGUUACUACUCAGUGCUGCACUAUUGCUUACAUAAGCUGUCAGGUAUCUGCAACAUAUGCCGGUAUACCCAGCCACUGGUAGAACUUAAGACCAACACCCGAGUUCACAUUAAUCACAGUUUCGCAUCACGACCUACUCACACAAGCUGUCAGUCAUUCGUUACUACUCAGUGCUGCUCACACAAGCUAUCAGGUAUCCGCAACAUAUGCCGGUAUACCCAGCCACUGGUAGAACUUAUGACCAACGCCCAGAUCCACUUUAUUCACAAUUCCACAUAGAUCUCUAAUGACAUGCCACUUGUAUCCCAUUAUAUUCCUAAGGUUCAACCGAGAAAAUUUCCCACACUUCAUUAUUUUGUAAAUUUUUAUUCGAUAUUCAAUCACAUAUAUCAUAAAAUAUAUCUUUCAUCCACAUAUCAUAAAAUAUGUCAGAACAUAAAAUCAUAAAUAAAAAUUGAUGCAUUAUUUACAUAAAAAACUUACUUUUGUGCAACAAUAUAGAAAUUUAGAAAUUUAGUCUUUAAUCUUUUCUUUUCUCUAAUCAAGGUCGAUUCCACUUCUUUCUUGAUCUAUAAUAACAUAUUUAGUUUAUAUAACAUUCACAUUAUUCAAUCCAUUCCAAAAAUCACAUUUUGGAAAAAUUACAUUUUUACCCUAAAGUUUAACAAAAUUACGAUUUUGCUCCUAGGCUCAGAAAUUAAACUUUAUUCCUUUUUCUUAUGUUUUAUAACAUGCUGAACAUUUUUAUCUUCUAUAGCAACAUCAAAUUCUUGCUAUAACAUGCACUUAUGAACAAUAAUAAUUUUUACCGAUUAUGUCGUUUCACUUGUUUUCACUGAAAAUCGCUUAGUAAAAAUUGUUUAACACAAUUUCAAGCUUCAUAUUCUACCAUAAAACAUCAAAAUAAACACAUUUCACCUAUGGGUAUUUUUCCAAAUAUAAACCCUAGGUUAAAUUAUUGCUAGAAUAAGCUAAAUUAAGCUACCGGGACUUCAAAAACGUAAAGAACAUUAAAAACAGGGUUUAGAAUCACUUACUAUGGAGCUUGGAAGCUUGAAAACCCUAACCAUGGCUUUCCCCUUGCUAUUUUCGUUCAUCAUGGAGAACAUGGACAAAUUUUUGGCUAUUUUGGUCUUUUAAAUUCUUUUAAUUACUAAUUGACCAAAAUGCCCCAACUUAAAAAUAUCCUAUUUCACUUAUCUCUUGUCUAUUUUUGUCCAACAAGUUAACCAAUGGUCUAAUUACCAUUUGAGGACCUCCAAUUUAAAAUUUCAUAACAAUUGGAUACUUCUAACAAGUAGAACUCAACUUUUGCACUUUUUACAAUUUAGUCCUUUUGGCUAAAUUGAGUGCCCAAAUGUCGAAAUUUUUGAACAAAUCUUUUUAAAAAACCAUUCCGUGAAAUUGUAGACCAUAAAAAUAUAAUAAAAAUAAAAUUUUUCUCGUCGAAUUUGUGGUCCCGAAACCACUGUUCCGACUAGGCCUAAAAUCAAGCUAUUACAAUUGGUCCUUUUAAGGUAUUUUCUCUGUUUUCGUUACAAUACAACAAGUAAAGAAGGGAAUCUGUAAUAGGUCAAUUUUGGCCUGGGCCCAGAUCAAAAAUAAAAAAAAAACAAACCCAAAUAAAUAAAAGUCCAAAAAGAUUAAUAAUCCAUUACAAUGAAUAAAAGCCUACCACCCAAUUACCAGCCCAAAACAAAAAGCAAGCCCAAUCAAACUAGUCCACUACUCAAUCAAAUAACCAAAACUAAAACCUAAUAGCCCAAAAUUAACCUAGCCCAAUUAGCCCAACAUCUAAACAAAACAAAAACCCUAGCCUCCUAAGGCUCCAACUCUGCAUGUCAGAACCACCUACGCUACACACCAUCGCCGCUCGAGGCUCGCCUGUACGUUUUGAAUCCCACCGCCGCGAGUAGAGGAGGUCAUUGUUCCCAAUGAUGGACGGUUAUCUUUGGUAAAACGGAAGAAAAACCGAAGGGAUUCUUUUGGGUCAAGUUUUUACAAAAAAAAAGCCCUAGAUCUGGGCUUUACGCGUCAGAGCGCUCAAAACGGGAGUUUUUGGUGAACUACGGCCACCGUGGAUGGUGACCGCCAUCGUCGGCUGAUCGCCACGGCGGUGUUUGAUGAUCGGACCUAGUGGCUUUGAAAGAAAGGGGAAAGAGCUUUUAGAGUUUUUUUUAAACAAGGUUAAAAUGAAAGUUUUUGAAAAAAUUUUGAUUUAAAUAGCAGUUGUGAAACGACGCCAUUUCACUUAGGCCCUUUAAUGCCAAAACGAUGUCGCUUUCGGGGGCCGACCCGAGACCCGACCCGCGCGGCUAGGAUCCGUGUGUUUUCUAGCCCCUGGGAUUAUUUUCGCGGUCGAUCCUUCUGCUUUUUUUGCUCAUUGUCAAUUUAAUCCUUUUUUAUUUUUAAUUUUACCUUGUGAUUUUUGCAUUGUUUCAUUUUAGUCCAUAUUAGAACUGUGCGUUUUGAAAGACAGGGAAUAUUUUCCCUUUUGGUCCCUCCCUUUUAUUUGCUCAUUACGAUUAGGUCCUUCACCUCAUUUCAAUUCUCGAUUCCUCCCCUAAAAUUUUGUUUGGCUUUCAAUUUCAAUCCUUAUUUUCUUUUGUUUUAUUUUUUAAAUACUUUUGCAUUUUUAUAUUUUAUAUUUUUAUUAUUUAAAUUUCUACUUUUAAGUUCAAUUUAAUCUUGAUUUAAUCAUUAAUCUAUUUUAUUUCCACCUUUCCACAAACUUUUUAUUUUAUUUUAUUUUAUUUAUUUAUCAUUUCUUCUUCCUUUUACAUUAAAAAAAUAGAUUAUUAGUACUCUAUUUUUAAUGGUGCGUUUUUAUUAUUGUUGUUAUUAUUUCAAAUAUCUUAAUGUUAUGUUUAUUUAUCUUUUUUAAAUUGUGCAUUUUCCAUUUCCAUUUUUUAUUUUAAGUUACUUUAUUUAUCUUAUUAUUGCGAUCUGGUUAUUAAUAUUAUUACUAAUAAUCAAUUCAUGUCACAUUAAUUUUUACUCGAAACAGAAAAAGGAAAUUUUCAAAAUUAAGGCAAUGUUCCGUAUUUGGAAAUCUGAGAAGUCGUGCCCUAACUUACGGGAUUCGACUUUCUAUUUGAACCAAGACAACCUAAUAUUUUUUUAAAGCAUAUAGGAUUUUAAUUAAAAAAUAUAUUUUUAGGAAUUAAGAAAAGUCGUAUUCCUAACUUACAGAAUAUGGCUUCUUUCUAAAACCGAGAUAAUUAAAUAUUUUAAAAAAAUAUUUUUUUCCAUGUUUAUUCUCGUUUUGAGAAUUUAAGGCAUUGUCUCCUAACAUACGUGAUGUGAUUAUUUUUCUCGAUUAACUCAAAAUAAAUCCAUUUUCGUGUUAAAUAAUAAAAGAUCAUAUCUUAAAUCUCUUCAAAUUUUAAAUUUUCGACACUAAAGACGCCAAGUAAUCAACUAGGUACCAAUUUUGGGUUUAUCAGUGGUGCUAAUCCUUCCCCAUGCGUAACCGACUCCAGAACUAGUCUUCUGGAUUUUUUAGACCAAAAAUCAUCAUUUUAAUAAAUUUAAACUUGUAUUAAAAUGAUUAAAUUAUGAGGUGAUCCGGUCACACCUAAAUAAAAAAGAUUGGUGGCGACUCCCAUUUUCAUUUUUAAAAUAUAAAGUCGACCUUUCAAAAAAAGGGGUUUCGACAGUAAAUAUCUUCUUCUUUUUUUCACAUGGAUAACAAGCGAGUUUCUUUCUUUAUUUCUUUCUUUUUUAAUUUCAAAAUGUCAAUUAGUAAAUUUAAUAGAAGAAUUCUUACUGUAAUAAUUAGACCCGAUUUUUUAAAUUUAGAAAGUAAAGAAAUUGUACGGGCCCAAUUUUACCCGGGCCUUAAACACCAAACAAACAGCCCACAUAAACAAAAAUUAAUAAACAGUCCAUGACCCAAAACCCAAAUUACACCCGGGGCCCAUUACAAGCAAACCCAAAUAAAACCCAAACCCGAAUGGCCCAAUACCCUUCAGCCCAAACCAAUACCCAAGCCCGAAAACCAAAGUCAACUUAGGGUUUCAGUGUCUGAAACCCUAAGCGCCGCCUGCUUCAGACCUUUGGUCUUCUGCCGCCACCACCGCGCGUCUGUCACCGCCACUGUCGUCCGUCAAUCAUCUACAGGAAAUAUACACGCAAACAACAAAUAACACAGCAAAAAUAGCAUAAAAAUAUAAAGGAAAUCGGCUAUAAAAGGCCGGAUUUCCCCCCUGUAUUUCUUCUUCUUUUUUCACGAGAUCAAUACAAAAAAGCAGAUUAAAGAAAUAGAAAGGUUGAUCCCAAAGUUUUUCUUUCUUGUUCUGUUAUUGUGCAUUUCCUUUCACUGUUAUUAGUAUUUUUUUUACUUAUUUUCUUUAUUCUUUUAAACUAAAAGAAAGUGAAAAGAAAAAGGGGGAGAGGGUACCUACCUGUCUCGAAAGCCCGUCGCCAAAGACCCUAUUCGGUGUUGGAAUCGGACGAAAAGGGGUGCGAAGGACCCCUCCUUUUUCAUCUUUUUUAGACCAACAGGGCCUGGUUUUCGUGUGUGCUGUGAAUCGGGGCUGAAAAGCUUUUUUUUUUGCGCAACGCCAGCCACCGCUCACGGUGGCGCUACGGCGGUGGCGCUACAGCCGAUUGCCAUGGCCGGUUAGAGGCCUGAGAGAGAGAGCUUGGCUCUCUGUUUUUUUUAAGAAGGAUGAAACUAAAAUUUUUUUGGUUUUUUUAUAUAUAUUUAUACUGAGCUCGAAACAGCGCUGUUUAAGCCCCUGUGACCCGCGUGCGAUCCUACCCGCUCCAGGGGGGAUCCGCGUGUUUUCAUGAAAUGGGCUAUUUGUGCCUUUGGUCCCCCCAUCAUUAAUUUGUUUUGUUUUAAUUCUUCUGCUUGUUUGUUUUUUAAUUUGACCUCGUGUUUUUACACCUAUUUCAUUUCAGUCCUGCAUGAAACGGUGCGCUCUAAUGGACUGGGGAUAAUUUCCCAUAUAGUCCUCGCGUUUCUGCAGCGCGUUACAAUUUGCCUCUCUUUUAGUUUUUUUUCUUUUAUUUCAAUUUGACCGUUUAACUUUUUUUUGUUCCAUUUUAGUCCUGUGAAGUGCUGCGUUUUGGGAGAUGGGGAUAUUUUCCCCUUUAGUCCUUCCUUGUUAUUCGCACACUCAAUUCGGUCCUUUCCUUUUAAAUUAUUUACAUAUCUGCCCCCCGAAUUCCUGUUUCAAAACCAAAUUAGUCUUUUUUUUAUCUAUUCACCCAUUUUAUUAUAAUUUAGACUUCAAAAUUUAUUUUAACUUCAAUUUGACCCUCUGUUCGUUUAAUUCCAAGUUAUUUUGUUUAUUUAUUCUUUUUGUUUUGUUUUAUUUAGUUAUUUAUUUAUUCUUGCAUUUAUUUAUUUCUUCAUUUCCCUUGUAUGAUUAGUUUAUCAUAUUGUUUAUUCCUCUACUUACACUAUAUUAUUAUUGUUGUUUAUUGCUAUCAUUCUUAUUAAUGAUUAAUUCAUUUUUAUAUUUCUAUUAUUAGAAUAAACAACUAAUACGGUUAUUGUUAUUAUUGGAUGAUUAUUGUUAUAAUUAUGUCAAUAUUAUUUUAUGCUUUAUGAUUUAUUAUUUAUUUUUUUUAUAUCUACUAAUAAAGUUAUUUCAUGUUACAUUAUUAUUGUACUUUGUAUUGUAUAAAAUAAAUGUUAGUCUUUAUACUAUACUUGCAUAAAUUAAACUUACAUCUCAUCAAAUAUUAUGUUAAUUCAUACUCAAAAAGAAAAAUUUUCAAAAUAAAGCAACAUGUUGUAUUUAGAAAUUCAAGAAAGUCGUACCCUAACUUACGGGGUUUCAAUUUUCUCGAAAACUCGAAUACACGAAUCGUUUCAAUCAAAACUUUUAAAUAUUAUCGAGAAUUUAUAAAAGAUCGUGUUCUAACUUACGGGACAUGAUCUCUUUUAAUAAAACCCGAAAUAAUUGAGCUUUUCCAAAAAUAAUUUUUUUGGGCAUUUAUUCUCACAUCUGGAAUUUUUGAUAUUGUGUCCUAACUUACGGAACGUGAUUUCUUUUUCUCGAAUGACGUGAAAAUAUGCCUUUCUCUCUAACUUAUACAAGUUUUUAUACAAGGAUUGUAUCUUUAAAAAUUUUUCAAAUUUUUCAUUUUCGACAUUAGGACAUUAAAACAUUUUAAUCUGCAACACAUGUAAAUGAAUAUUAUUGGGUUUUAAAUUAUUAUUUUUUUAAGAAAAAUCGAAUCGAAUCGAAAUUGGGAAAAGAAAUUGGUGUUCUUUACAUAUCCUUAACUUCAUGGGUGAUUAGGGAGGUGGCCCGAUUGAUAGAGAUUAGGUCGAUUUUGGAUGGUUUAGAGCCGGACCAUUAUGCAUUAUUAAAUUCUCAAAGCCCCACAUUCAAAUUUGUUGAGCUAAUAUGACAUAAAAUAAAUGAUGGAGCACAAAAAAAUUUAUAAUAAGAAAAUUCAUUUAUAUAAAUUAGAAAGUUUGUGGAAAUCACAAAUUUAAAGCGAAAAGAUUAAAAUAUCUUCAAAUAAUAUUAUUUACUUUAAUUAUGGAAUGAUAUUUUCGUAAUAUUUUAACCGAAUUGAUACCCAGUUAAUUCAUGACACUAAAUUAAUUAAAAAUUUAUAUAUAUAUACAAAUACGAUCAAAACACUUCAAUUUAUUAAAUUCAUCUCUAUUUUAUAAAAAAGUUUAAAAAAUUAAUCCAUUUAUUGAUAAAUACAGGAAUUCGAUUUUUGUGUAUUUAAAUAAAUUAACUAUUUUUGUCCGUAAAAAACUCAAUUUUUAGAUCUUUUAAUUCUAAUUUUUCAGAACCCAUAUUUUACUCUAAUUUAAACCUUUUAGGAAUAUAUUUAAAAAAAAUUCCUUUUUGAGGAAAGAUGGAGUGAAAAGGAUAGAUUAUUCAACUUUGCUUAUAUUUGGAAUUAUAUAUGAAAUUAAUUGGGGAAAGCUCAAAAAAUAAAAAUUAAAAAAGGCAAUUCGUUAAAUUUAUUAAAUAAAUCACUUUUAUGAUUAAAAAGACUAGUUUCAUUCAUAUAUGUCCACAUAUCACACAGUAGUGUUGAGAGUCGUUUGGAAAAAAUCCAAAAAUUAGAGAAAAAAAAAUAAAGGGUUCUCCUAUAUGUUUUUGGUAGAGUUUGGAGACAUGAGCAGGUAUCUUAAUAGAAUUUAAUCAUAUAUAAAUAUAUAUAUAUAUAUAUAUAUAUAUAUUUGAGUGAGUCUCAUAAUAGAGGAAACAAUUAGACAUACAUGUAGGGGUAACGCUAGGGGUUGCAACCCCCUUCAACGAGGAAUUUUCUCUUUAAAUAUUUUAGAAUAUGUAAAUGUUAAAUUAAUAUAUUAACUAUACUAUUAGUCAUCAAACUAUACGAGUAAUUUAAUUUUCGUCAAGUAAUUAAUGGUAGACUAAUUGCCUAUACUAACUGUAACAACCUAUUUUUUAGUGGUGUUGAAAAUAAUGACUUCAGGGCUAUAAAUUUGACAAGUAUAUUCGUAAAUAUUAUUAUAUAAUAUUAAAAUCCACAUAUCACAAAACAAAUAAAAAAACAAAAAAAACUCGGAUAAACAAAAUUAAAAUCCACCCUUCGUAGAUUUUUAUGUGUUUAGUCCUUUCAUGAGAAAUAGGAUUUGGUGCUAUCUGUAAAGCCAUCUGGUUGUCAAAAUGCAGUCGCACAGUUUUCUUCAUUUUAACUCCUAUUUUCUUGAUUAAUCCUAUUAUCCAUACUACUUCUGCUAUUGUUAUUUCCAUCUAGAAAGAAACAAGAGCAUCUCCUAUUUUAAAGCAAAAACCUGAAGUUGACCUUCUUGUCAUAGGACAUGCAGCCCAACCUGAAUCACUGUAAGUUUCUAAUUGCAGGAUGCCUUUUGCAAACAACAAUAUCGCUUGUCAUAAAUCCUUUUUAAUAUACUCGACUAUGCUAAGUACAUCUUCAUAGUGGAACUUCUUUGGCUGCUGCAUAAACUAACUAAGAUAUUGAACCGAAUAGUUUAUGUUUGGUCUAGUAAUAGUUAAAUAAAGUAACUUUUAAUGAGUCUUUUAUAUGCAGCUGUAUCUUGAUUUAAUGGUUAAAUUAAUAAUUUUAGUAAUAAAAGGAUCUGAUUGGUAUAACAUCGAUAAUUAAAUAAUAUAAUUAAAAUAUUUUGAAGAUAAUUAGUACAAUUAACUAAAACAAAUAAUUUAAUACAGAAAUUAAACAAUAUAAUAAAAAAUUCGAGAUUCAUAAAUCAUAACAAAUUUGGAAGAAACAGAUUUGGUGGAUUCAUAAAUAUCAUUAUUGAUUUUUUUAUUUUUAAAAUGUAUUAUUUAUACAAUAUUAAAGAAGGGUUAAAGAAUAAUAAAAUUUGAAAUAUAUAGUUUUGAUUUUGAUAAUAAUCAAAUAAAUACAUCAUAAAACUUAAGUAAAUAAUUAUUAGACUACCAUAAAUAAUUAUCAGGCAUGUCAAAAUUUAGUACUUUAGUAAAUAAUAUUUAGAUUAUUUAAAAAUAAAUAUAUUUAUUAAAGAAAUUAAGGUUUAAAUUUUAAUUUUGUGGAUUUUUAUUGAGUUUAGAUAAAAAGAUAAAAACAUAUUUAAAAUAAUGUAAAUAUAAUAUAUUUUAUGAUUUUAAAAGAUAUGAUUAUGAUAUCACACAAUUUCUAUUUUUUUCUUUGUCUUUUUUUAGCAAUAAAUUGGUGACACCGGUGUUAUUUUAUUACGGUCUCAGUCUACUAGUGUCGAAGAAACAAAGCUUAUUAUCAGAGAGAAGCAGCGUUGCCGGAAAAUGGCUUGCCUCAAUGCCCGACGAUCUCUAUCCACCCUUUUAAGCCGCGCCCUCACUGCUUCUUCUUCUUCUUCCUUUCCUUCCCGUUCUCGCCUCACUGUUGCACUCCUCAACAAAACCCCAGUUUUUAUCCCCGAAGCAACCAAAAUCCUGACCCGAACCAAGACAUCCGGGUCCGGCUACUCGCCUUUGAACGACCCAUCUCCUAACAGUAGUAGCCCACGACCAUCGGUUCUCCUAGAUGACAGUUCUUAUGAGCAUUGGCUUAUCAUUUUGGAAUUCCCAGAAUGCCCGAAACCUUUGGAAGAAGAAAUGAUCGAUGCCUAUGUUAAAACCCUCGCUUCUGUUGUCGGCAGGUUUUUAAAUUAUAAUUAUUCCUUCAAAUUUCAUUAAAUCUGGGUUUUAUUUUCUUUUUUGUUUGUCUGAUCUUGUAGUGAAGAGGAAGCGAAAAAGAGAAUAUACUCUGUUUGUACAACGAGGUAUACUGGGUUUCGUGCUUUUUUCUCUGAGCAUUUGGUCGAAAAACUUGGAGGUAAUAUCAUUUCCCAUUUACUAGGGUUUAGGGUUUACAUGGUUUUCCCUUUUUCUAGUGUAAUUGGAACAAGAAACGGGUUUCUUGAAACAGUGGGUUUUCAGAAAGAAGAAAGAAUUAACAUUGGUUUUCAUUGUGUGUGAUGUGUUGCUAGCUGUUUUAGGGUUUUAAACCUCCCGAUGUGAUUGCUUUCUAUACUAAUUUAUUAGGGUUUAAAUGGUUUUCCCCAAUUGCUUUUGUGAGUGUUUUUGAACUUACAAUUGAUGAGGCAUCCACUUUGUUCUAAAAUCAAUUGGCAUUAUGUUUCUACAGUGUUACCUCGUGUACGCUGGGUUUUACCAGUUCGGUAUUGUAGCCGAGAUCAUUAUUAUGCAGGUGGGUAGUUUAAAGAUGAAGUUUGCUGCUUACAGCCAUUGAAGUUCUCAUUGUCAACAAAUUUAAUCUUUUUUUUAUUGGUGGAUUGAUUGCCAGGGGAUCUGUUUGUUGAUGGGAAAGUCUUUCAUAGACCGCAAUUUCCAUGGGUUGGUGUUCCAAAUAGCAGCCACAGAGUUGGAGGAUGUGGUGAUCAUGAGCUUUGGCUUAUCACUUUCGAAUUCCGGGAAGAACCUUCCUUAGAAGAAAAGAUUGAUUUCUAUGUCAAAACCCUCGCUUCUGUUGUCGGCAGGUUUUUGAUUCUUUCAAAUUUGCGUUUUCUUUCCUGGAAUUUGAGAAAUGGGUUUUAUUUUUCUUUUUUGUUUGUAGUGAAGAGGAAGCGAAAAGGAGAAUAUACGCCGUUGGUGGUAGACUAACGGUGUAUACUGGGUUUCGUGCUGUUAUGUCUGAGGAGAUGGCUUAUGAACUUGAAGGUAAUUGCAUUUCUCAUUUAUUAGGGUUUACAUGUGUUCUCAUUUAUUAGGGUUCAGUGUUUGGAAUUGGCGUUAUGUUUGUAUAGGGUUUCCUCUUGUAAAAGGCAUUUAUCGGGAUUCACAGGACGAAUAUGAUGAAGAUUUUGAUGGAGGUGGGUAGUUUAAAGAAUUCAAGAUGAUGUUUGUUGCUUACUGCCAUUGUCAACAAAUUUAAUCUCCUUUUUCUUAUUAGGGCAUUUGCUUGUUGAUGGGAAAGUCGUUCUUAGACCAACCUCUUUUAGCAAGAAGAGGUGCCUGACGCGAUCAGUUCGUUUGGUGGUGAACCAAGUAUUAAACGAUAUUUAUAUUCGUAAAAUGGAUGAAACCGAAACCGAGGGCUAGGACCAGAUCUUUUCUGAUUUGGUGGAUUCAUAGAUCUCUUUAUUUUUUUUUAAUUUAUGUGUUCAAUAUUAGAAGAGUCAUAAUUAUUUGAAUUAUUAAUUCGUGUAAUCUCCAUUCCUAAUGAAUACUUGUUGUUAUUAUUUAAAAUAUAUACGUUUGGUUAUUUAUAAAUCUAUUCUAAUAUCUUUAAUCAUCAUCUCAUUGUAGUCUAAAUUAUUGGUAAUUUAUGUUUUAAUUUCUGAAUUAUUCCCGCCAACAUUGGGGAGGACGACAAAGUCUUCUACAGUAUCAAAAUCCCAUGGAUCCUUAUCACCCCAUACUUUUUAAUUUUUUUUUUCCAAAUGAAUGAUAGUAUAAAUAUAUUAUUGGAAGGAUAUUUAAAGCGAAAAGAUUAAAAUAUCUUCAAAUAAUAUUAUUUACUUUAAUUAUGGAAGGAUAUUUUCGUAAUAUUUUAACCGAAUUGAUAUUCAGUUAAUUCAUGACACUAAAUUAAUUAAAAAUUUAAAUAUAUAUAUACAGCACAUCUGAAUGAAUAUUAUUGGGUUAUGAAAUAACUAAUAUUUAAUUGUCAAAUAUUUAUUAAAUUCAUCUCUAUUUUAUGAAAACUUUAAAAAAUUAAUCCAUUUAUUGAUAAAUACACGGAUUCGAUUUUUGUGUAUUUAAAUAAAUUAACUAUUUUUGUCCGUAAAAAACUCAAUUUUUAGAUCUUUUAAUUCUAAUUUUUUCAGAACCCAUAUUUUACUCUAAUUUAAACCUUUUAGGAAUACAUUUAAAAAAAAUCAUUUUUGAGGAUAGAUUAUUCAACUUUGCUUAUAUUUGGAAUUAUAUAUGAAAUUAAUUGGGGAAAGCUCAAAAAAUAAAAGUUAAAAAAGGCAAUUCGUUAAAUUUAUUAAAUAAAUCACUUUUAUGAUUAAAAAGACUUGUUUAAUUCAUAUAUGUCCACAUAUCACACAGUAGUGUUGAAAGUCGUUUGGAAAUUAUUUAUUGUUGUUAUUAUAUACAAAAUAUAUAAUUUUGAUUUUGAUAAUAAUUAUUGAUUAUUAAUAAAUUUAUUUUAAUAUCUUUAAUGAUAAUUUUUAAUCAUCAUCUUUGGCUGCUGCAUAAACUAACUAAGAUAUUGAACCGAAUAGUUUAUGUCUGGCCUAGUAAUAGUUAAAUAAAGUAACUUUCAAUGGCUCUUUUAUAUGCAGCUGUAUCUUGAUUUAAUGGUUAAAUUAAUAAUUUUAGUAAUAAAAGGAUCUAAUUGGUAUAACAUCGAUAAUUAAAUAAUAUAAUUAAAAUAUUUUGAAGAUAAUUAGUACAAUUAACUAAAACAAAUAAUUUAAUACAGAAAUUAAACAAUAUAAUAAAAAAUUCGAGAUUCAUAAAUCAUAACCAAUUUGGAAGAAACAGAUUUGGUGGAUUCAUAAAUAUCAUUAUUGAUUUUUUAAUUUUUAAAAUAUAUUAUUUAUACAAUAUUAAAGAAGGGUUGAAGAAUAAUAAAAUUUAAAUUCGUGUUAUUAUAUGAAAUAUAUAAUUUUGAUUUUGAUAAUAAUUAAAUAAAUACAUCAUAAACCUUAAGUAAAUAAUUAUUAGACUACUAUAAAUAAUUAUCAGGCAUGUCAAAAUUUAGUAUUUUAGUAAAUAAUAAUUAGAUUAUUUAAAAAAUAAAUAUAUUUAUUAAAGAAAUUAAGGUUUAAAUUUUAAUUUUGUGGAUUUUUAUUGAGUUUAGAUAAAAAGAUAAAAACAUAUUUAAAAUAAUGUAAAUAUAAUUUAUUUUGUGAUUUUAAAAGAUAUGAUUAUCAUAUCACACAAUUUCUAUUUUUUUCUUUUUCUUUUUUUACCAAUAAAUCGGUGACACCGGUGUUAUUUUAUUACGGUCUCAGUCUACUAGUGUCGAAGAAACAAAGCUUAUUAUCAGAGAGAAGCAGCGUUGCCGGAAAAUGGCUUGCCUUAAUGCCCGACGAUCUCUAUCCACCCUUUUAAGCCGCGCCCUCACUGCUUCUUCUUCUUCUUCCUUUCCUUCCCGUUCUCGCCUCACUGUUGCACUCCUCAACAAAACCCCAGUUUUUAUCCCCGAAGCAACCAAAAUCCUGACCCGAACCAAGACAUCCGGGUCCGGCUACUCGCCUUUGAACGACCCAUCUCCUAACAGUAGUAGCCCACGACCAUCGGUUCUCCUAGAUGACAGUUCUUAUGAGCAUUGGCUUAUCAUUUUGGAAUUCCCAGAACACCCGAAACCUUUGGAAGAAGAAAUGAUCGAUGCCUAUGUUAAAACCCUCGCUUCUGUUGUCGGCAGGUUUUUAAAUAAUAAUUAUUCCUUCAAAUUUCAUUAAAUCUGGGUUUUAUUUUCUUUUUUGUUUGUCUGAUCUUGUAGUGAAGAGGAAGCG